AAUGAUAAAAAUAUUUUAUUAUAUUGUUUUUCUUUUGAUUUUUGUUGUUGUACUUAUCUAUCCGUCCUUACUCGAUUUACUCAUGUUCAGUCUUGAAAUUUUGUUGCAAUCCCUUGUAUUAGCCGUUUGUUAUUUAAAAAAGUGAUUUUGAAAUACUCGAAAAAGUCAUAUUUUUUAUAUAAUAAGUUACAGAAAGUCCUUUUAGUAGAAGUUUUUUACUUUUUUGGUAUAACUCCCCUUACUGAAUGAGUGAUAAGGAUAUAUUCUCUUUUAGUUUAUCUGAAAAUUUAAUAAGUUUAUAUUAUUAGACCAAUACUUGUUGACGAAGUUUUUUAAUUUUUAUUUUGAAGUAAACCAAGAAUUUUUCUAGAGAAGCCAGGAAAGUAGUUUCUCAUUGAAACACUUUUCAGCUUUGUUCAUUGGUAAAAGGCCAGCCAAACAAAAUAUGUAAACGUCUUUUACUCCUGAUUUUCUUGUAAAAAAUCUUAAACCAACGUGAACUAAAUAUGUCUAGUACAUUGUUCACUAACCAGAUAGUCCUUUAUAUAUGCCCGUGUUGUGCAAUGACUCAUAUAAUGUAAAGGGGUUGGGGUAGAGGAGAUAUUAUGUAAAUCUAAUGUAAUACAGAGAAGAAUAGUAAAACACUAAUCAUUAUUCUAUAAUAAUAUAUAGCGGUAGCUUCUCAACGCUCCCGGGGAUCUCAACGCUCCCGGGGAACGUAGGCACAAUUGGCCGAACCUCGUUACCAAAUCUCUUGUGUUAUUCUCUUGUCUUUAUACUCUUUACUAUUUGAUUGUUCGCUUGUUCCCAACAAUUGGUAUCAGAUGGCUCUUAACCCAGGUGCCAAAUUUGAGGUGGGGAAGUUCGAUGGAACUGGUAAUUUCGGAUUGUAGCAAAGGAGAGUUAAGGAUGUGUUGGCUCAACAAUGUCUAUCAAAGGCGCUGCGUGAGAAUAAACAAGAGGGUAUGGAUCAACUGGAUUGGGAAGAAUUGAAGGAGAAGGCUGCGGGAACCAUACGACUCUGUCUAUCAGAUGAGAUGAUGUAUCAUGUUAUGAUCUCACAUCACCAACAGAGGUAUGAGAGACAUUAGAGAAGCGGUUCAUGUCCAAGUCUCUAACAAAUAAAUUGUAUUUGAAAUAGUGACUCUAUGGCCUGAAGAUGCAGGAAGGUGUUGAUUUGCAAUAACAUCUCAACAAUUUUAAUCAAGUGAUCAAUGACUUGUAUAAACUUGAUGUGAAGGUUGAUGAUGAGGACAAAGCAAUAAUAUUACUGUGUUCUUUGCCAAAUUCCUAUGAACACUUGGUGACAACAUUGACGUACGGGAAAGACUCAAUCAAACUGGACGAGAUCACAUCUGCACUUUUGUCCCACACUCAAAGAAGACAGAAUGUAGGUGAAGGGUCUCAGGGUGAUGGUCUAUAUGUGAAAGGGAGCCAAGCGCGUGGGAGGAGACAAGGCGAGGAGGUCUGCCAAAGGGAAAAGACCAAAUUCCAGGGGCAGAACACUAGUAGAGUGCUAUAAGUGCAAAUAUGCUGGGCAAUACAAAAAGGAUUGUCCCAAUGAAUGAAGUCCUAGCAAACCGGUGGAGAAAACAUCUACAAAUAUUGCACAAAAAGAUGACUCUGAUUAUAAUAGUGAAGUUGAUUUACUAUCUGUAUCAUCAAAUCAUAGUACACAUUAGAGGAUACUUAACACUGGUUGUUCCCACCACAUGAUGCGCCAAACAGAUAAUGGUUCACCACAUACAGCGCAGGCAAUUUUGGUUUCGUGUAUCUUGAAAAUAUAAAGCAUGUGAACUUAUUGGUUUGGGAGGACUCAGAAUUGUGAUGGAUGAUGGUGUAGUGAAGACAUUAUGUGAGGUUAGACGCAUACCAGAUUUGAAGAAGAAUUUGGUUUCUUUGGAGACAUUGCAGGCCAAAGAAUUUAGCUAUAGAGUUGAUGGGGAGAGUGAUAUUCUUCGAGUAUGCAAAGGUGCUCUGACUGUGAUGAAGGGUAAAAGGACUGCAGGGAACACUUUCAAGUUGUUAGGGAGAACAGUUGUAGGUGAAGUUGCUGGAGUGGCUGAAGAGAUCUCAGUAGAUUCAGACCUUGGUGCUACAAAAUUAUGGCACAUGCAUUUGGGACACAUGACUGUGCAUGGCAUGACAAAACUAUGCAAAAGAGGUCUGUUGAGGGGAGUCAGCAAAUGCAAGCUAGAUUUGUGCAAGUAUUGUGUGCUUGGGAAACAAACACGAGUUAGUUUCAAGGCUGGCCAACAUAGGACUCGAGGCAUUCUAGAUUAUGUCCACACUAAUGUAUGAGGACCCACUCAGGAACCAUCCCUAGGGGGUUCUAGGUAUUUUGUUACCUCUGUUGAUAACUCUUUUCUCGCAAGGUCUGGGUAUAUUUUCUGAAGCAUAAGUCAGAAGUCUUUGCCAAGUUCAAGGUUUGGAAGACAGAGGUAGAGAACCAGACUGGUAGGAAAAUCAAAUACAUAAUGUCAGAUAAUGGUACGGAGUACAAAAACUCACAGUUUUAGAAAUUCUGUGAGGAACAUGGUAUUCAGAGACACUUUUCAGUGAAGAAGACUCCUCAGCAGAAUGGGGUGUUGUAGAGAGGAUGAAUAGAACUCUUACAGAGAGGGCCAGAUGUAUGAGACUGAAUGCUGGACUUUCCAAAGGAUUUUGGGCAGAGGCACUUAGUAUGGCAUGUUAUGUCAUCAAUAGAUCACCACGAGCUUCAUUGGAUGGUAAAGUUGCAGAAGAAGUAUGGACAGGUAACCCAGUUAAUUAUAAUAUGUUACGCAUAUUUGGUUGUCCUGCUUAUAUACAUGUACCCAGUGAUGAACGAUCGAAACUUGAUCCUAAGUCAAAGAGGUGUAUCUUCAUUGGAUAUACCAAAGGUGUGAAGGGGUUCAAGUUCUGGAUCUAGUUUCUAGAAAGGUGGUAUUGAGCAGAGAUGCAGUGUUUGAUGAAGAUUUCAUGAUGAAACAGUCAGUUUUGACAGAGGUGCUCAUACCAAAUGGAGAGACUUUGGGAUCAAAUAUGAUUCUAAUGAGCAAUGAAAUGGUUCAGGUGAAUAAAGGCAAGAAACCAUGCAGUAAUUCAAGUCAAGAACGAGUUCAGGUGUGCAUGAGUAUCUACUUGCUAGAGACAGAGAUAAACGUCCCAUCAAACCUUCAGAGAGAUAUGGCUUUGAGGAUAUGGCUUCAGUUGCUCUCCAUAUCACGUCCUAUCAAACCUCUAGAGAGAUAUGGCUUUGAGGAUAUGGCUUCAGUUGCUCUCCAUAUCAGUUCAGGAAGAGGCUAUAAACAGCUAGGAGAAAGAACAAUGGAUGAGUGCCAUGAUGGAGGAGAUGAAGUCUUUACAGAAGAACCAAAUUUAGGAGCUUGUUCCAUUGCCCCCAGACAAGCGUGCAGUUGGAUGCAAGUGAGUGUACAAGAGGAAGCCAGCAGUAUCAGAAAAAGAAGGGGAAAAGUUUAAGGCUCGUCUUGUAGCAAAAGGGUAUUCACAGCAGAAGGGGAUCGACUACAAUGAGAUUUUCUCCCCAGUGGUGAGACACACUUCUAUCAGGGCAGUGCUUGCCUUGGUAGCCAGCUGGGAUAUGCACUUAGAACAGAUGGAUGUGAAGACUGCCUUUCUCCAUGGUGAAUUAGAGGAGAAAAUUUACAUGACACAACCAGAGGGGUUCAGUGCAGCUGGACAGAGUCACUUGGUUUGCAAGUUGAAGAAGUCUCUAUAUGGGUUGAAGCAGUCUCCCAGACAGUGGUACAAGCGGUUUGACACUUAUAUGUUGAAGCUUGGUUAUAAGCGUUGUGAGUAUGAUUGCUGUGUUUAUGUGAGAAGCCUUGACGAUGGUUCGUUUAUUUUUCUGUUACUUUAUGUUGAUGAUAUGUUGAUUGCUGCUAAUCAUUUGAGUGAUAUCAAUGAGCUGAAAGUCAUGCUAGGUAAGGAGUUUGACAUGAAAGAUUUAGGGGCUGCUAGGAAGAUUCUUGGGAUGGAGAUUCACAGGGAUAGGGGAGCUAGAAAAUUAUGGCUCUCCCAGCAAAGCUAUGUUGAAAAGAUCUUAGAGAGAUUUGAUAUAAGCAAUGCUAAAGUAGUGAACACUCCAUUGGCAAAUCACUUCAAACUUUCCUUAGAUCAAUGUCCAAAGACAGAUGAAGAGAAGAAAUACAUGUCAAAGGUUCCAUAUGCCAGGUGGGUUGUUUGAUGUAUGCUAUGGUUUGUACUAGACCGGACUUGGCACAAGCAGUUAGUCAAGUAUGCAAGUACAUGUCGAAACUAGGGAAGCAACAUUGGGAAGCAGUCAAAUGUAUUUUCAGAUAUUUGAAGGGACUACAGGUCUCGGUAUCAUGUUUGGCAGCCAACAGAGUAAGCCUUCAGUUAUUGAUUAUGUUGAUUCGGACUAUGCAGGAGACUUGGAUGAUAGAAUGUCCACAACGGGUUUGUCUUCACCCUUGCAGGUGGACCAAUUAUAUGCAGAUCAUCAGUUCAGUCUGUUGUUGCUAUGUCCACAACUGAAGCAGAGUACAUGGCAGAUGGUGAAGCUUCUAAGGAAACGCUGAGGCUUAUGUGGCUAGUAAAUGAGUUAGGCAUUGAGCAAGGUGGAGUUCCGAUGCAUUGUGACAGUCAGAGUGCUAUCUUCUUGGCAAAGAACUAGGUGUAUCAUGCUUGGACCAAACAUAUUGAUGUGAGAUUUCAAAAGAUCAGAGAGUUGGUAGCUUGUAGGCAGAUACUAUUGCAGAACACACUUCAGAAAAUGCAGCUGAUAUGUUUACCAAACCGGUUACCGUUGACAAGUUCAGGCAUUGCCUGAGCUUGCUGAACAUUCACUGAUGCUGGACUAUGGAGCGCCCCCAACCUAAUGGUGGAAGAUGGAGAUUGAUGAUAUUCGCCAAGGUGGAGAUUGUUGUGCAAUGACUCAUAUCUCUAGAUAACAACAACACAAGUUAUGGGCUUGAGCUGAUAUAAAUGGGUUGGGGAAGAGAGCUAUAUAUAUUAAUGUUAUGCAAACCUAAUGUAACAAGGAGAAGAAUACUAAAACACUAAUCAUUAUUCUCUAAUAAUAAAUAGUGGUGGGACGUAUGGACAAUUGGUCGAAUCUCGUUACCAAAUUUCUUGUGUUAUUCUCUUAUCUCUAUACUCUUUACUAUUUAAUUGUUCGUUUGUUCUUAACUGUCAAAAAAAAUCAAACACUUCAUAUUUAGGUAAAAGGAAUGGGUUCAGUUUACAUUUUGAUGCAAAGCUUAUUUUUGUAUAUCUAGGAGUAUACAGACUAGACAUGGCUCCCACAUACAUAGCAUUUAUUGCUAGAAUGUCUGCACUAUGGAUUACUUUAUUUUCUAGAGCCUUAGUACUUCUGUUCACUAGUAUCUUAGGCUUCUUCUAGAUAAUUUAUGAGCCUUAAUUCAUCUCUUGUAAAUACACACUUUAACAGGUUGAUUCUAAUUUUAGUUAUUAAUAAGGAUUGUACUUGUUGGAAGUUGGAGUUGAAAGAAUGAAGGUGGACUCUAGUGGGUAGUGCUUUUUCUCCAAAUAUGACAUUUAUUAUAUUCCAAUCAGUUACAUAUCUUAUGAUGUUUUAACGUUUUCAUGUUAUUAUAAAUAUUUUGAUUUUUUAAAAUUCCAAUACACAUCUAUAUUUUAUUUUUCAACCAAACCCUUAUUUAUUACUCUUCUUUUUCACCGCCUAUUUCUUCAUAUCUUUUUAUCAAAUUGUAACUAAUUUUAUAAGAAAUUAUUAUGUACAUAACCUUAAACAUGAGAAAGAUCUGCCAUUGGUUUUGGUGGCGUGGCGUUCAUUUAAAUGAAGGAAGCACCAUUAUGCCAGAUGGAAUUGCAAAUUGGCUGUUGAGUUGCAAACAUGUUUUCUACCAGUUCAUUUCAGUCUUUAAUUUUAAUAAUUCAUUAAUAUAAUAAUUGCAGGCAGCUUCCGCUACAGCAGAGGCUGAGUUACCUCCCACACAUCCCAUCAGACUGGGUUUGGCUUUGAACUUCUCUGUCUUUUACUAUGAAAUUUUGAACUCUCCUGAAAGGUUUGCCUAAUAUUAUCUUCUUCCGAAAGUAUAUCAGACAUCUCUCUGUUAUGAUGUGCUAAUGCCAUGUGCCAUAGUCAGUCUCUUUAACAAGUUUAACAUGAUAAUCCUUGAAAUUCAGGGCCUCUCAUCUUGCUAAACAGGCAUUUGAUGUAGCAAUCUCUGAGUUGGAUACUCUGAGUGAGGAAUCUUACAAAGAUAGCACCCUGAUUAUGCAGCUUCUUAGGGACAACCUCACCUUGUGGACUUCUGAUUUCCCUGAAGAUGGAGGUAGAAAUAAAUGUGUUCCUGUAACGUUGCUUCUGAUCUGCAAUUCAAAUGGAAUAUAUGAUAUGCUUUAUUCUAAUUUAGUAGAGUAUCCUUUUCUGAUAUAGUUGACAUUUUUGUGAUGUAUGGUUGCUUGUAUGUGACUAAGGUGGCUUGUCGAACACUUCUUUCAUUGUUUUGUUUAUUCAAACAGGUGUUUGUGUUGAUAACACACUAGUUUCAGAUUAGCCCAUCUUUCUGUCCAUGGGAUGUUGUUAAUAGACUAAGUUUCCUUAGUGACUAUAUAGAGAUUCCAAGCAUUUUCAGCUUUAGAACAAACAUAUGAAGGAAGAGAUGGUAGUAAGCUUUUAGAGAAUUGGUUCUUAGUUAGUUUCACAAAUUUGAAGAAACGCCAGAGCCUCAAGUUAGUUGAAAGAAGGGUGAAAACAUCAACCCGCUAAAAGUUCUCACUUCUAAGAAAUCAGAUAAGUUGGUAACCAAGAUGUAUUGGAUCUACAUGAACAUAUGCAUUGGAUAAUUGGUGGUUCAGAUAUGUCUUUAGUGUUCAUUGUGGAAUUAGAAUUAGCUUCUAGUUCUUUUGAUUAUAAUUAGGUAACCUUAGUUUUCCAUAUAUUUGGUUAUUACGUAAUAACUUUUCGGUUUUGUGUGUGUUAACAAAGGUAUCCUCUCAUCCUAUGGGUAAAUAAUUUAUCCCUUUCAGAGUGUGCGGCUGCCCCUCCCUUGCUUCAAAGAGUCGAAUCCUGACCUUUAGUCUUGUACACACAAUAGGACCAACUCCUUGUAGCUAAUUACUUCGGGUCUUUUAUUGAGUGGUAUUUGCCUCAGUGUGCUGUUUUGUCCCUUCUAGUUCUGCAUUAACUUUGUAAUGGUGAUUGAUACUAAUUUAAUUUAUUUAUGCAACUAUGUGUGUCAAAUUAGGAGUAAUUGUUGAUAAGCUAAAAGAUAAUGUGCUUCUUGUGCUGUACUCUCUUCUUUUAGGUUCACUAGAAAGCUUCUUUAAAGGAACUAGCAUGUUGUCCCUAAUUUUUUAAAAAUAACAUUGCUGUUUUCCCCAUUCAGUAACUAUCUCCUUUUUUAGCAGGUGAGGAACAAAAAGUGGAGCCUGCACGAGAUGCUGGAGGCGAAGAUGCAUAGAUACGUUAUUUACCCACUCAGCACAUGAUAUUUGGGUGUAAUUUUACUUCAAUGGAAUUAUAUUUUGCAGUAAAGUGAGGAAGAUGCUGGCUAGGGGUUUAUGUUGUGAAUACUGGAAGGCUAGUGUCUCUAUGCAACUAUUUCUGGUUUAUGCUAUUUUUUUCUCAUGUUUUCUCGUUGAAGAAAGUUUAUGAUUGGCAUCAUUAGGAUUUCAUGAUAGAACAUGAAGUAACUCUGUAAAAAAUUGCAAAUUCUGGGGCUUUUCUCAUUUGACAAUGGAAAGAAGUAUUUUUAAUGUUGGCUUAAAGCAGUAAUUUAAUUGAUGCCUUGAUUUUUACUUAUAUCCGUCCAAGAAUAUGCUGCCUUGCGUUCUUUCCUCAGUCUACACACUUGAAACUCUUGAAACUGACAAAUUGUUUAUCUGAAAAUUGCUGAGUUAUUUAGUUACUCAGAAUACGUUUGAACCCAUCCACAAAAUUGGGAUUGGUUUUUCAUGUUGAAAAUCAUCAACUAAGUUGAGCAUCAGCUUGUGCCAAAAUUUGCCUAGCCUCCCAAUGAUUGAACUCAUCGGAAUCAUUAGCUAAUAAGAAAAAUGGGUCACCUGGAUGAGAUCAGAUUCAAAUCGGAUAGGAGCAAUGUAUCCUCUCAACAAAGAGGGAACAAGCUCUCAAAUAAAUCAAUGAAACACAAGUUCUUCUUUCUUGGUGACUCUAAUUAAGGACAGUAGUGAAGACUGAUUGAUCCUUGAUUGAAACAUACUUAAGAGUCCCAUCAUGAUAAAAGGCAGAAAUGAGAAUGUCCUUGCCAAUUGAAUCAAACAAACCUACUGCAACAAGAACGAACAUAGGUUCCUUAACUGACUACCCUAGAGGUGGUGGUAUCUCCUGACUAAACUUCAAAGAAAAAGUAUAUGCUUCUGAAUUAUAAGAAGGUUUUACUUGGACAAAGCGGUCCUAACUUGAGAGUACCAAAGUAAAGAAUUUGCAAAAUCUGCAUCAUUUGCAUCUCGCGUGGCAGCAUAAAAGUCUUUACAUGCUAUGGCUUGCCCAUCAUGUAUACUAAAAUAAGCAUCAUGCUUCUCACCUCGGCCAUCUUCAUUGGCUUUGCCACCUUCCUCCUCCUCCACUUCUUUUCCCUUGGUGCGCAUUCCACUGCCUCCACUUAUGCCCCAGCUCCACUCGGAACCUCAACAAUCUCCGACGUUUCCACGUCUCCAGAGGAUCUAACUAGCACCCGAAUCCCGUUGCAUUGUCUGCCUCAACCUCUUCUGUAACAGCCAAUGUUGCAGAAAGUUUCCAAGUUGCUGUCACCUCUUUCAUUGUCACUACGUUGUGUUAAGGAGGAAGGAGGUUUCUAGGAAUUUGUUAAGAAAUUCGAAGAAAUGAUUGAGAAAAAGGGAAUCUCCUUCAACGAGAGAGAACUCCGAAUUAUUAUUGACUUUGGGAAGAAGAUUACAAGAGAGAAAGAUUCUGUUUUUCAGAUUAUGAACUGAAUUCUGAAAAACAGCUACCUUUCUAUUUAUAGCAUUUCCUAACUGUUUUAACAGAAACAGUUUUACUAAAAAAGGAAAGUUACAACAACUAGCUACAAAAGGCAAUUGAUACAAGUAAAUGCUUAAGAGUACAAAGAAUACAAAGAUCCUUAUCAAUAUCCCCCCCUCAAACAAACCUUGACCUCAAGGUUUAAAAAACGGAAAUUUUUUCUGUAAAUCAAAAAGGAAUUCCCAGGUUGCCUCUUCAUCAAGUUGAUGCUUCCAUUUAACCAGAACUUUAGUAACAGCGUGACCUCUUCUUUUCACUGUCAUACGGUCUAUGAUGUACUCAGGUUCUUUGCCUCGUGCCACUGCAUCUGAGAAUGGGGGAAGCUGAGUUGAAGAAGGAACUUCACCAAUGUGUCUUUUAAGCUGGGACACAUGAAAAACAGGGUGGAUUGAAGAAGAAGGAGGAAGAGCCAAUUUAUAAGCCACCAUACCCACCUUGUCACUAACCAAAUAGGGCCCAAAAAAUUUAGGAGCUAAUUUAGCAUUACUCCUAUUAGCCACUGAAAUUUGCCUGUAUGGAUGCAAUUUAACAUAAACCGUAUCCCCAAUUUCAAAUUGCCUAUCUUGUCUGCUUUUAUCAGCAACUUGCUUCAUACGGUGUUGAGCCCUUCUCAAAUGGAAUUUAAGCACCCGUAGCAUUUCUUCCCUCUUGCUGAGACUACGAUCCACCAAUUCCACUGCUGAAUUUCCAGGAAGAUAUGGCAGAUAAUGAGGUGGUGGUUGACCAUACACAAUCUCAUAAGGAGUUGCCUGGAUUGAAGUGUGGAAUGUAGAAUUAUACCACCAUUCUGCCAAUGCUAACCAUUUAAACCAUUGCUGUAGUGAAUCUGAGCACAUACAUCUCAAAUAAGUUUCCAAACAGCGAUUAACCACUUCUGUUUGACCAUCAGUUUGGGGAUGAUAAGAUGAAGAAAGUUGCAGUUGAACUCCCUGCAGGGCAAAUAAUUCCUGCCAAAAACUGCUGACAAAAAUGGGGUCCCUAUCACUUGUGAUGGAAGCAGGGUAGCCAUGGAGUUUAAACACAUUAUCCAGAAAACAUUGGGCCACAUUGACAGCAGUAUAUGGGUGAGCUAAAGCCAUGAAGUGAGCUGCCUUACUCAACCUAUCAACUACUACAAGAAUGACUUACUUUCCUGAUGAUAAUGGUAACCCUUCAAUGAAAUCCAUGGUAAGGUGUUGCCAUACAUGAUCUGGAAUUGGCAGAGGUUGCACUAGACCAGGGUAGGGUGUUGUUUGAUAUUUGCAUGUUUGACAAGUUGGGCACUUCAUAACAAAAUUCUUAACAUCCCUAUUCAAGCCUUUCCAAUAAACCACUGAUUGCACUCUUUUAGUUGUGGCAUGCCUUCCUGAAUGACCCCCUGUUGCAGUGGUAUGUAGCCAUUGUAAAAUAUCUUGCCUGAGUUGUAGGUUGUUGCCAAUCACCAACCUCCCCUUCCUACGAAGUUCACCAUUAACCCAACUAUAAUGCUUGUGAGAAGAUGGUUGUUGCUGGAUCUGGAUUCUGAUGUUGCUCAAUGCUGGAUCUGAAUCCCAAGAAGCAAUGAUCCUGUCCAACAACACAGGCUCAAUAAUAUGAACUAGCAAGGCACAGCAAGCAUUCCUUCUUGACAAGGCAUCUGCAGCAAUAUUUUCUUUUCCCUACUUAUACUCAAUUUCAAAAUCAAAUUCCAGCAAUUUGACUAACCAUUUCUGUUGGAAAGAUGUUGCCAAUUUCUGAUCCAACAUGUACUUUAAACUGAUGUGAUCAGUUUUGAUUACAAAAUGUCUACUAAGCAAGUAGUGUCUCCACUUUUGAACAGCAAAGACCACUGCCAUAAGCUCCUUUUCAUAGGUAGAAGCUGACUGUUGUUGUUGGUUAAGGACCCUGCUCACAUAUGCUAUAGGAUGAUGGUUCUGCAUCAAAACAGCCCCCAAGCCAACCCCUGAAGCAUAUACUUCUAGCACAAAUGUCUUAGAGAAAUCAGGAAGAGCCAAAACUGGUGCAGUGCUUAAUAAUUGUUUCAAGUGCAGAAAAGAGUCUUUAGCCUCAACUGUCCAACAGAAAUUGUUUUUCUUGAGUAAUUCUGUUAAGGGUUUAGCCACUCCUCCAAAGCCUUUAACAAAUCUCCUAUAAUAGCCAGCUAGCCCCAAAAAUCCCCUCAAUUGUUUAAGUGUUUGAGGUAAGGGCCAAUCCUUGACAGCUGAAAUUUUUUCUGGGUCAGUGGAUACCCCUUGAGCAGAAAUAAAGUGUCCCAAGUACUCAACUCUGUCCACCCCAAAGUAGCAUUUGGAUUUCUUGGCAAACAAUGCAUGACUCUUCAUCAACUGCAGAACUCUUUUAAGGUGAGCCACAUGCUCAUAUAAGGAUUUGCUAUAAAUGAGGAUAUCAUCAAAGAAAACCAACAAGAACUUCCUAAGAAAUUCACUGAAAAUGGCAUUCAUAAGGCCUUGGAAUGUUGCUGGAGCAUUUGUUAACCCAAAAGGCAUUACCAAGUAUUCAUAGUGACCCCUGUGUGUUCUGAAUGCAGUUUUGUAUAUAUCUGAGGUUUCCAUUCUCACCUGAUGGUAGCCAGCUCUUAGGUCCAACUUGGAGAAAAUAGUGGAGCCAUGUAAUUCGUCCAUAAGGUCCUCUACCAAGGGAAUGGGGAAUCUGUCUUUGACAGUCCUUUUGUUUAAGCCUCUAUAAUCCACACAAAGUCUCCAGGUGCCAUCUUUCUUUCCCACCAACACUACAGGACUAGCAUAAGGGCUAUUGAUGUUUUGAAUGAUGCCUGACUCAAGCAUUUCUUGCACCAAUUUCUCAAUAAUAUCCUUCUGGUGCUUGGCAUACCUGUAGGGUCUCAAGUUGACAGGAUUGGUGCCUUGCAGUAGGGGAAUUUGGUGAUUGUGGCCCUCCCUAAGUGGUGGUAGAUGAGCAGGUUCUUCAAAAAUGUCCCCAAAUUCCUCAAGUAAUUGAGCAAUUCCAGUAGGAAUUGCAGGUUGCUCUGCAUGAGUGGUCAAGGAUUGUAGCAACCCUUGUUCUGUAUUGCAGAUUUGCAGCAUAGACAGCUGCACCCCUUGAUUCAAAACUUUGUCAAGCUUCUGAGAUUUUACUGUUUUGACAGCAUUUGUGGAUGCCCCCCUCAAGACAUGUCUCCUACCUUGUGUUGUGAACUCCAUUUUCAAUUUGUCAAAAUUCCAAGUAAUGUCCCCUAAGGUGACCAACCAUUCAAUACCCAACACCAUGUCACAACACCCCAAGGGAAUGAGCAUUACAUCAGAACUGAAAGUUGUGUGUUGAAUUGUCCAAGCAAAAUCUCGUACCCCACUUGAUAUUUGGAGCUUGUUACCAUCUGCCACAAUGACCAUCAGGGGAGUGAGGUGAUCAAUCUUGCAAGCCAGUGUGUGAGCCUUUUGGAUGUCUAGGAAGUUAUGAGUGCUUCCACUGUCAAUGAGUAUGUGAAGGGGCCUUUUAUUAUAAUGCCCUGUGAUCCUCAUGGUUCUAAAGCAAGGCAUACCAGUAAGUGCAUUAACAGAAAUAGUUGGUUCCCCAAAAUUCUGGCUUGGCAGUGUUACUUCUUCACCAAUAUCUUCGUCUUCCCCUCCAUCUUCCAUCUCCAAGACAUGUAGUUGAAGCUUUUUAUGUGCCAAGCUAUGUUUAGGAGUGUAAGGCAUGUCACAAAAGUAGCAUAGGCCUUUGGCACGCCUUUCAUUCAUAUAGGCAGGUGUUAAAUUCCUAGUAGUUGUAGGUUUAGGCUUGAGAGGAUCAACCUGCUGGUCAGUGUGCAAGGGUGAUCUAGCAGGUAUAAUUGGCUUAACAUUAGAAGUAGGUUUACUCCACUUAGGUGGGAACUUGAACAAGGUUGAUUGAUUAUGCGCAGAUUCAUAUAGCUUUGCUAAUGCAAAAGCUUUUCGAACAGAUUUAGGUUUGAACAUACGCACCAUCAUCUGCAUUUCUUGCCGUAGACCACCUAAGAAGCAACUUAGGGUAUAUUCCUCAGAUAGUUCCAACCUUGUGAUGAUGCCAUCGAAUUCCUCAUGGUAAUCCGUCACUGUGCCCUUCUGUCUAAGAUUCAUAAGCUCCACCAUAGGAUCCUCACAUACCUCCCCAAAUCGUUCUGUGAUGAUUUGCACAUAUUCACUCCAACUUGGCCAAGAACUGGACCACAAAUUCUUGACGAAUGCGUGGUGCCAUUGCAAUGCUCUGCCCUCGAAAUGAACCACUGCCAGCUUCACCUUGAAUUCUUCAGGUGUGCCAUCAAUUAAGAAGUAAGUUUCACACUGAUAGAGCCAUUGACGUACGUUAUCACCAUUAAAACGGGGAAAAUCAAUUCUGGAUAAUCUUGUGCCACAUGAGUAGUUAGAGUUGGUUCGUCUCUCACCAAGAAUUGAAGUUCUAGGCCGUGCAGAUUCUUCUCCACUAUCUUGCCUGGAUUUGAGCAAGUCUUCUACUGUCACUUUGAGAGAUUCACUCAACGAUUUCUGAAGUGCUCCUGCCAAGUCCAUGAUUUUUGAUUCAAUCUUUGCUGCAAGUUUACUUUCUAAGCGUUCUUCGACUUCCCGCAUGGAUGCUUGACUCCUUGUUGAUUCUGCCAUGGAAGCGUUUUGUGUGCCGAGGAAGGGUGAAAUCUGAUACCAAUUGUUAAGGAGGAAGGAGGUUUCUAGGAAUUUGUUAAGAAAUUCGAAGAAAUGAUUGAGAAAAAGGGAAUCUCCUUCAACGAGAGAGAACUCUGAAUUAUUAUUGACUUUGGGAAGAAGAUUACAAGAGAGAAGGAUUCUGUUUUUCAGAUUAUGAACUGAAUUCUGAAAAACAGUUACCUUUCUAUUUAUAGCAUUUCCUAACUGUUUUAACAGAAACAGUUUUACUAAAAAAGGAAAGUUACAACAACUAGCUACAAAAGGCAAUUGAUACAAGUAAAUGCUUAAGAGUACAAAGAAUACAAAGAUCCUUAUCACGUUGACAUGUGGCUAGUCAAGGUCACCCCGUGCCCUACUUGUGGUACACCUGUUCGAUUCAAUGCUGAGGCGGAUGUAGUGAUGUGGAUAGGCAAUUUUGGGAUUGCACCACUAACAUUAAUGCUCUCACCAUGUUAUUAGAGGUUGCAUAAGUUUAACUUUUUUUGUGCAUUUUCUUUUUUCCAAGCUAUGUAACACUAAUUAAAUCUUGUUAAUUCUGGAUAUCCCAUUCUUUCCCACUUGUUCUUAUUCAUUGUUGUCAUCCCAUUUUUAAAGCAUGUUGUUUUCACUUGUUUUAUUGUCCUUGCAGUUUUAAUCUUUAGAACAUCGUUUUUCUUACUAUUUUGAAUAUGUUAUUGUUAUGCAUGAUUUUGUUAAAGAUUCAAUCUCCACCACUCUUCUUGGAUUUGCGAUUGUCAUCUUCGUGACAAGCAGUGUUGGUUAUUUGAAUGUCAUCUUCUUUCUCACUUGUUUUUAUUCAUUUGUUGCCAUCCUAUUUUCAAGGCUUGUUGUUUCCCAUGUUGUUUCCCAUGUUGUUUUAACAUCUUUCUAGCCUCCUUUAGUAUGUCAUUUUCUCCCUAUUCUAGACUAAUUCUUGAUGGUACAUGAUUUUGUUAAAGAUCUUUUAGAGAAUGAUUAGUAGGUUAGGUUAUUAAGUGUGUUCUCUUAAUUAGAGGUGUGGUUAAAGGCAGUGUUAUGCUCACUGUGCUGAGCUGUCAAGUCUUGUGUAUAAAUAUCUUUCUUCUCUCUUGUAACAGAUUAACAAUUCAUAAAUAAAAAAUUUCAGUUUUCUCUCAACUCUCUCUUCUCUCUGUUUUUCUGUUCUUCUGUUUUUCUUACAUGGUAUCAUGACUUCAACCGUUCCUGGAGCCUCUCAUUCUUCUCCUCCUUCUUCUUCAUCUCCUCCACAUUCUCCGUCUCCGCUACAAACCAUCGCGUCAUCGCUGGUUCUUCCAACACCGGCGAUGAAGCUUACAGAACAAAAUUUCCUCGUGUGGCGUCACUUUAUGAUCGCAACACUCACUUCCAACCGAGCUAACAUAUUCGUUCUAGGUACAGAAAUACCUCAUCGUUUUCUCAACGAUGAUGAACGGUUAAUCAAUAAGGUAAGCUCUGCUUAUCUACGCUGUGAGGAGCAAGAUCAAGCGAUCUUCUCCUGGAUUCUGAACUCAUUAUCAGAAAGUUUACAACCUAGAGUUGUUGGAUGUCAACACUUGUGGCAGUUAUGGGAAGAGUUACACAACUUCUGAAACUCACAAACAAAAGCGAGGAGUCAACAACUUCGUUCUCAGUUGCGCUCCAUCACUCAGGGUUCUUUGUCUAUCUCUGAGUAUUUUCGCAAGAUUAAGAACUUAGCGGAUGCACUUGUGUUCAUUGGCGCACCAAUUUCAACCUCAGAGCACAUCGAUUAUGUCCUUGAUGGUCUAAAUGAGGAAUUCCAUCAUGUUGUUACUUCAAUUGAAACAAAAGACGAUCUACCAACACUACAUAGUUUGGAGUCAUUUCUCCUAACUUUUGAAGCAAGAAUGGAGAAGAAUAAAUCAAAAGUUCUGGCUGAUGCUCUAUCUGCAAAUGUUGCUGCUGCUCCAUCUUUUUCAUGUUCCUCUGGUCCUCAUUCAAUGCAAUCAGUUCCUUCGUCGACUCAGUUUCAUGACUCUGGUCAUUUUUCACCAAUGCGCCCUAAUUUUGCUACUGGUGGUUAUCGUGGUUUUCGUGGGGGCCGCCGUGGUGAUCGUUUCAGAGGUGGCCGGAGUUAUCAUCGUCAUUCACAGUUGUAUUGUGAAUUUUGUAACCGUCAUGGACAUGAGGUCUCCAAUUGCUACUAUGCACCUCUUGGAUACAACUCCCUAUCUCACAUCCCUCCUAGAUCUAGAGUUCUUACUCGUCCAAGUGGGCUUGGACCUCAGAACACUCUUCAUUUUUCCAAUGGGCCUAUGAAACAUUCGGCCCAUUACAACUCACCCUAUGCUGAUCGCUAUUACUCUUCUUCUCAUCUAUAUCCUCAUGCUUCUUAUUUUCCUCCUACAGCUGCUCACUAUUCCUUUGGGCCUCCUCCUUCCUCUUCUCUGCUUGGGCCUGGCCCAGUUUCUUCACAAUACGCUUUUCCCCCAUCUUCACGGGAACAAUAUCAUCAUCAACCCACCUUACACACCAUAUGCCAUGACCGCUAAUGCUUCUCUCUCAAUACAGAAGCCUUCCACCUGGUAUCCUGACCCACCAAUCAUUUAACCUCAGAUGCUGGACUCAUUCAUGAACCUUAAGAACACUUUGGUCCUAAACACAUAUUCAUGGGUAAUGGUCAUGGUAUUCCUAUCACUUCUAAUGGAAACUCUUGGUUUAAUUCCUCUAACUCAUCAUUUUCCUUUUCUAUAAACAAUCUUCUGCAUGUUCCUAAUAUUACUAAAAGUCUCAUCAGUGUUUCUCAGUUUGCUAAGGAUAACAAUUGUUAUUUUGAAUUUCAUGCUAAUGAUAGUUUCGUUAAAUCUCAGGGUUCUAAUACACUUCUCUUGAAAGGGAAUCUCACCAAAGAUGGAUUGUAUGUCUUUCAUGAUAUUGUUCCUAGCUGUGUUCCAAGCUGCUCAAUAGCUUCAGAUUUGAAUAAGUCUUCUAUUUCCUCUAGUUCUCAUACUUUGUGUAGUUCUUUUCAAUUGUGGCAUUGUAGACUUGGUCAUCCUCAGGAGGCCACAAUUUACAAUGUUUUAAAACAGUGUAAAGUGCCUUAUAAAAAUAAAUCAAUUUCUGAUUUCUGUCAAGCUUAUUGUUUAGGUAAAGCUCACAAAUUGCAUGCUCCAUUGUCUACUUCUGUUUAUCAUAAUGUUUUUGAACUUGUGUUUGUUGAUUUGUGGGGUCCUGCACCCAUUCAUUCUUACUCUGGUUUUAGAUACUAUUUUACUAUUGUUGAUGCUCACUCUAGGUUUACCUGGCUGUUUCUCUUAAAACAAAAGUCUGAAACUCUAUCUUUGUUUCAGUACUUUGUUAACCUAGUUAAAACUCAGUUUGGAACAACCAUUAAGGCUGUCCAAAGUGACUUUGGUGGUGAAUUUAGGCCUUUCACCACUUAUUUAGGGCCUUUAGGCAUCAAUCAUAGGCUUUCUUGUCCUUGCACUCACCACCAGCAAGGUACGACUGUGGAAAGAAACAUCGACAUGUUGUUGAAACUGGUCUCACACUCUUAGCCCAUGCUCAUUUACCUAUGAUUUUUUGGGAAUUUGCCUUUACUGCUGCUAUAUUUCUUAUCAAUAGGAUCCCUACUCCUACUUUACAGCAGAGGUCACCUUUUCAGAUCCUCUUUGGAGAUAUACCUGAUUACAAAUUCUUCAAAGUUUUUGGUUGCUCUUGUUACCCUUUUCUUAGGCCUUACAACAAAAACAAACUUGAACCUAGAAGCACUGAGUGUGUUUUCUUAGGGUAUUCACCUAAUCACAAAGGUUACAAAUGCUUGUCUAGGCAUGGAAAAAUUUACAUCUCCAAGGAUGUAGUGUUCAAUGAACAUUCCUUUACCUUUGUUCAUAAUCCUGGUUUUGGUGAUAAUGAUUUGCCAACAACCACUUCCAUUUCUCUCUCUCAGUCCUCUAUUCCUUUGAAUGUGUUUAAUCCCCCCACCUCUGUUUCCAUGUCUGUUGAUCCUGAGUCCAAUGGUGGUCCUUUAUCCUCAUCUUCUAGUCCUAUUAAUUUGUCUCAUGGUCUUAUUAGUCAGCCUAAUUUCACCUAUGGGUCUUCUGGUGCCAUUUCUUCUUAUUCUUCUGGUGCUAUUUCUCCUUCUUCUUCUUCUCUUCCUCUAUCCAUUCUUCCUGCUCAGUCUACUCACCCAAUGCAAACCAGAUCUAAGUCUAGAAUUUUCAAGACCAUUGUGCCUAGGGUGUUGCUUACUCAUAGUGAACCAGUCAAUGUCAAGUCUGCUCUUGCUGAUCCUGUUUGGAAACAAGCAAUGCUGGAAGAAUAUAAUGCUCUCAUUACUUUGGGAACUUGGUCAUUGGUUCCCUUACCUCCUAAUAAGCAGGCUAUUGGCUGUAAAUGGGUCUUUAAGGUCAAAGAAAACCCUGAUGGCUCUGUUCUUAAGUACAAAGCUCGUUUAGUGGCCAAGGGUUUUCAUCAAAAACAUGGCAUUGGUUACACAGAAACCUUUUCACCAGUUGUCAAACCCAUUACCAUCAGAAUUCUAUUAACCUUGGAUGUUACCUAUCAUUGGCCUCUUGAGCAAUUGAAUAUUAACAAUGUCUUUCUAAAUGGCAUUCUUGAUGAGGAUGUGUAUAUGCAGCAACCCUCUAGGUUUCAACAUAGUGACAAGUCCCUAGUGUGCAAACUUCAUAAAGCAAUUUAUGGUCUCAAACAAGCACCAAGACAAUGGUUUCACAAACUUAAGGCCACUCUUAUCACUCUUGGUUUCUUUGUCAGCAAGUGUGACAACUCACUGUUCAUCCAUACCUCUACAAAGACUCAAAUAUUUGUUCUUGUUUAUGUGGAUGACAUUAUUGUCACUGGUUCUUCUCAGCCUCUUGUCCACAAAGUCAUUAAAGACCUCAGUGCUUCCUUUGCUCUUAAGCAACUUGGUAAACUUGAUUACUUCCUUGGUAUUGAAAUCAAGCAUCUCUCUAAUGGCUAUCUUCUUAUGUCUCAAUCCAAAUACAUUAGAGAUUUUCUUGCUAGAGCUAAUAUGGAAUCAGCAAAAUCUGUCAGUGCCCCUAUGACUACAAGCUGCAAAUUGUCCAAACAGGGUGAUAAUGUCUACACUGAUCCUACUUUCUAUAGGUCAGUUGUUGGGGCACUUCAGUAUGCAACCAUAACAAGACCUGACAUUACCUAUAGUGUUAAGAAAGUUUGUCAAUAUCUAAGUAAUCCCCUUAACUCUCACUGGGUUGCAGUCAAGAGGAUAUUAAGAUAUCUCCAAGGGACUUUGUCCUUUGGUCUCUUCAUUCAGCAAACUACUUCAUCUGUUCCUCUUACCAUAUCAACAUUCUGUGAUGCUGACUGGGCAUCUGACAUAGAUGACAGAAAAUCUACCUCUGGUGCUUGGCUUUUUCUUGGUCUCAAUCUCAUUACCUGGUGGUCCAAGAAGCAGAAUACCAUUUCCAGAUCUAGUACAGAGGCAAGGUAUAGGAGUUUAGCUCUUGCUGCUCAAGAGCUCAUGUGGGUUGAGUCACUUCUCCAGGAAAUUAAGUUUCAAUACACAGUUCCUACAAUUUAUUGUGACAAUCUUAGCAUUGUAGCUAUGUCUCACAAUCCAGUUCUUCACAACAAAAUAAAACACAUAGAACUUGACUUGUACUUUGUGAGGGAUAAAAUUCAGAACAAAACUCUAAAAGUCACACAUGUUCCCUCUUCCUUGCAAACUGUUGAUGUCCUAACCAAACCCCUCUCCACUGCCAAGUUCAUUGGUUUCAGGCAACAACUUCAAGUCAGAGACUAUCUAAACAUGGGUCAGAAUUUUCAGAGCCCAGAAGUUCAGGGGGGUAUAUUAGAGAAUGAUUAGUAGGUUAGGUUAUUAAGUGUGUUCUCUUAAUUAGAGGUGUGGUUAAAGGCAGUGUUAUGCUCACUAUGCUGAGCUGUCAAGUCUUGUGUAUAAAUAUCUUUCUUCUCUCUUGUAACAGAUUAACAAUUCAUAAAUAACAAAUUUCAGUUUUCUCUCAACUCUCUUUUCUCUCUGUUUUUAUGUUUUUCUUACAAGAUCCAAUAUGCAUUGUUCUUCUUGGAUUUGUGGUUGUCAUCUCCAUCACAAGUUCACAAGCGUGGUUGAUUUUCUCUAUUCUCCAUAUGUGACAAUUUGGAUGUAUAUGUUUUGGCUUGAGAGAGAGUGUUGGAUAUAAAAUUGUGGAAGUGGUUCAUAUUUUGUAUGGUUGUAGUUAUUACUCAUGUUCUUGUGUUGAUCCAUGUUCUUCUUGAUGCUCUUGAUAUCGUCACGAUUAUUGGUAAAAUUACGGUGGUUUCUAAUUGGCAGUGCUCUCUAAUUUUUCCUUAAUGUUGAUCAAUUUUCAAAUUUAGUUCUUGUUGUUUUGUGAUACAUGUUGUGCGGCCAUCAUUCUUGUUAGUGUACUUAUGUCUAUGGUAGUUUAGCUUGGAGGUAGCUUCUGACAUGAUUGUUUAAGCAUGGUUUGCUUCUAUUUAUGGUAGUUAAGCUUGGAGAUAACUUUUGUCAUGUAUGAUUGUGUUGUUUCCUUCUGUCUAUAGUGGUUAAGUUUGGAUAAAGCUUCCAUCAUGGAUGGUAAAUGUUAUUUGCUUCUAUCCAUUUUGAUUAGGCUUAACGAUAACGUAUAUCAUGGAUGAAUAAUUUUUGUUGUCGGAUGGCAUUUGAAGAUUGCCAUUGUUAUUAAUAGUUUAGAGCAUUUGUACACCAUCUCAUUGCAUAUUUCCCCGACCCUUACAAUACCUUUGAAGCCAUGUUUGGUGGAGACCACAUGACUAUUUUUGGUUAUUUUCCUUUUUACAUGGGCUAUUCGUAGAAAGUUCAAGCAGGGAUGGCAAUAGGGAGGGCGAAAAUGAGUUGUAUUUUCUUAUUCUCAUAUCUAUGUUAUUUGUGGGUAUCAAUAUCGAUAGUGGGUAUGUGUGGAUAUCUGACGAGUUUUUAAGUUUAUGUAUAUAUUUAUAUAUUUUAUCAUAACCCAUAUGCAUAAAAUAACUAUUAAUGAAUAAAUUAUAUGUUAAAUUUAACAUUAUGUUUCAAUUACUAAAAUUCAUCAUAAAAUAAUAAUAAAAUAGAUAAUAUAUAAUUAUAAAAUAAUAAAACAUAUAAUAUAUAUAAUAUUUAAUUAAAAAAUAAAUUAUAAAUAUGUGGGUACCCACAGAACGGUAUCAUAAUACUUGUUUUCACCUAUAAAUUAUUCUUGUUGGUACUUGUUGUAGAUAUUUUUGUGAGUACUCACGUGACAUAUAUUUUUGUCAUCCCUGACUUCAAGCUUAGUAAAUUUUAACUUGAAGAAAUUAUCAUAAUAUACAAAAGUAUCUUAGAAUAUCUUAAAUUAUAUUAUAGAGAAUAUGUAAAUAGUACUUGGAGAGAGUAUCUCAUAUUGUAAUGCUUAUAUAUUUGAUUUGUUUAAAAUAUGUAAAAAGAUCUCUUAGAUUGAAAUUAGUUUAUUUUGACCUUCUUGAUUUGUUUCCUUAUUUAAUGAAGAAUUUAGUAUUAGUAUGAAACUAUAAAAAUGAGUUAAUAUUAUGUCUUUUAUAUCACAAUAUCAUCAUAUUAUCAUGUAUAACAAUAUCGGUACAAUUUACUAUGUUGGGCAAACCUUUAAAAAACAAAAAAUUGAAGAUAACUUGUAGCUUUUUAAAAAUGAGUUUGUAGCGUGUGAAUGCUACUUUUUAGAAAGCUACUUCAUGUAGCGUUUACAAAAAAUGAAAUUAACUUUCAAUAAUACGCUUUUCAAUUUUGCUUUUCAAUAUUUUAACAAAUUACAUUAUAUACCAUAAAUUAAAAAAAACUAUUAACCUUAUCUGUCACUCCUACCUUUUCUCUAUUUACGUUUCCAUCUCAUAGAAAAAAUCAGCACCUCCCCACCAUUUGUGUGACUUCUCAGUGAUUAUCACUUCAUGUAUAUCACACAAUUUAUAGGGGUUUAACGAUAUAUAGUAUCAAUAGUGGAAGAAUAUUAUAAAUUUAUGUAACUUAAUUGCAUUUUUAGAAAAAAUAUUGAAAAAAAACUUAAACGAACAAACAAAUAAAUAUUACAUAUUUAACUAUAAUUAAAAUAUAAAAAUAAACGAUUAUUUUAAAUUAUCUAUUUAUUUAAUUAAUAAAUAACAAAAUAAAUAAUGUAUUUUAAAUUUCAGCUAUUUACAAAGUUCAUUUUACCGAACAACUCUAGUUUAAUAAGUUACAUUCAUAACUACAAGCUUCCAACUACCUUCAUCGUUACAAGCUAACAAUUGUAAGCUAUAAGCUAAUUUUCACGAACAAAGUCACAUUUUAUAGGUUUUUAUAAGAGACAAAUGAUUCUAUUGAUUAUGUAUUUUUUAUUUUAUUUUUCUGACAUGGUUAGAUGUAGCAUAGUUAGAGCACAUCCUACUACUUGAUUCUAUACAGUGAAAUAUAUGAUAUUGUUUGAUGUAUGAGUGAAAUUGUUAUGAGUUUUUCUUUGCUUUAUCUUCUAUCAAUUGUGAAAAGUUGUCAUCAUAGUUAUUCAGAUUUUAAAUGAUUUUCCCUAUUGAUUCUUUGUGUUAUUAUUUUUAUUUCUAUGUUUGAAUAAAUAUAUUAUUCACAUUUUAUUUUUUGGUAGUACCAAGUGUAUCCCUCACCCUUUUGGGUAAGGAAUUAAUCCCUUUCAGGAUAUGUGUCUGUCCCUCCCAACAAGUGUCGCUCACAAGAAUUAAAUUCUUGACCUUUUAAUCAUCUUAAAGAUCUAGCAUGACCUUAUACUAUUAGAUCAAUGCCUUGUUGAUUGUUAUUCACCCUUUAGUUGUAUUUUUUUUGUAUUAUAAAAUUUCCUUUACUACAAAAAGCAAAGCUCAAAGGUAUAAUAAAGAGUAAGAAGAAAGUUUAUUCUACUUUUAGCAUACAAAUAAAUUGCAUUUUUGGAAUAAAAUAUUGAAAACAAAAAAUAUAUAUUAAAUCAAAACAAAUAAAUAAAUAAAAUAUUUCAUAUCCAAAUAUAACUAUAAUAUAAAAUUAAAUGAUUAUUUUAAAUUAUGUUUUAUUUAAUUAAUUCAAUUAAUAAAUAACAAAAUAAAUAAUGUAUGUCAUUUUUAGUUAUUUUUAAAAUUUCAGCUAGUUAUAAAGCUUGUUUUACCGAAUACCUCUAAGUUAAUAAGCUACCUUCACAACUACAAACUGUCAGCUACCUUCAAAAUUACAAGCUACAAGCUUACAACUAUAAGCUAUAAGGUCACAACUACAAGCUAAUUUUCCCAAAAAGAUCCAAAAUGGUAGAGCUUUCCCAUUCUCAUACUCGUACUAUUUGUCGGUACCCGUGCAACUAUUUGUUGGUACCCAUGCACAUAUAGGGUAUGCACAUAUACCCGACAAGCUUUUAAGUUUAUGUAUAUAUUUAUAUAUUUUGUAAUAAUAAAUAUAUAUAAAAUAAUUAUUACAUGAAUACCUAAUAUGUUAAAUUUAUCAUAUAUUUCAAUCAUUAAGAUUCAUUAUAAAAUAGAUAAUAUAUAAUUAUAAAAUAAAAAUAUUUUAUAUAUACAAAAAAUAUUUAAUUAGAAAAUAUUUUCUAAACAUGCGGGUAACCUUGGGGUGAGUAUCAUGAUAUUUGUUCUCACUCAUAAAUUAUUCUUACCGGUAAUUGUGAGUAUUUAUGCGAGUAUCCAUGAGAUGAAUAUUUCUGUCAUUCUUAGAUGUAAACUUAGCAAAUUUUAGCUUAAGGGGAUUAUUAUAAUAUACAAAAGUAUCUUAGAAUAUCUUAAAUUAUAUUAUAGUAAAUUGUACUUAGAUAUAGAGAUAUUUCUCAUAUUAUAAUUCUUAUAUAUUUGAUUUGUAUAAAAUAUUUUAGAAGAUCUCUCAUUAAAAUUAGAUUAUUUUAUCUUUCUUGAUUUGUUUCCUUAUUUAAUUAGGAAUCUAAUAUUAGUAUAAAACUAUAAAGAUAGUUAAUAUUGUAUUAUUAUAAUAUCACCAUUCACAACAAUAUCUAUACAAUUUACUAUGUUGAUCGAGCAUCCAUUUUCUUCUUUCCAUAUGAAAAACCCUAUAAUUUCAAUACAAACCUAAGUUGAGAAGUGAUUAUUUAUUAUCCUACAAGAUGAUAUAUCUGGAUUGUUCUCUUCUGAUGUAUAUUUUGCUUAACUUGCAUGGAAAAAGAUAAGAUUUUAUGGGAGAUAGUAUAAUUAAUAAGUUUACAAUAUAAUUUUCUAUAACACUAUAUUCAAUUUAGAGGAGGUAAUGGAUUCAAUUUUACUGUAUUUUUGAAAUGUUCUCAUUGUUUUCUUAGCUUCAAAUUCUCCUUUGUACAAUGAUUGCUUAACCCUCAAGUUGUCUUCUUAAGUGUAAUGUUUCAAUGUGAAUAAGAGUACCACUUGUUUUCCUAAAAAGAUUAUUUUUCUAUUUUAAUAAAAAUUAUUAUUGCUGAUAAAAAACACGAAGGUUUUGACAGUAAUAUAUUCGGGAUUAAGUUACAUAUAUUUAUCAUCUCUAAAUUUUAUUAGGUGUGAGCUUUAGGCAUUGUACUUUCCUGAUUUAAUCUGACUAGAAUAUGGUUAUCUGAAUAAAAUAAUUACAAGAAUAAAGUAAAGUAUUCUUAAUGUUCCUAGUGAGUUCUUAUUUAUAUUAAAAUAUCACUUACGUAUACAAUAGUAAACUUAUUUUAGAAAAAGUAAUCCACAAUAAUUCAAAUCAUUUUUUAUUAAUUCACAAAAAUUAAUCAAUAUUUUCCACGCACAUUUAGAAUAGGAAAAAAAAUGCAGAUGUUACAAUUAACAAGCAUGAUUUCAACUUCUUAUUAAAUCAUUUUGUGUCACCAUUACAUAUUUUGCAAUGGAUUUUUCGUUCUUGCAUAUUUUUCAUUGGCAUUUACGAUUUUUGAAAUGAAUGCAUUUUUUAAGUCACACAUAUUUGAUUCAUAAUCUCAUUUAUUUUCUUAUUAAGGGUAAGGCAUGUAAUGCUCAAAGGCGGAGAGAAGGCAAAAAUAAAUUAGCAUAUAUUACAAUGAAGAAAUGCUCAAUUUAAAGCCUAAAAAGCUUAAGUGAUCACUGAUCACUUGGGUUCCAAAAUUCACUAGCGUUAGAGGGAACCUCACAACCUAUAGAGAAUUUCCCAAAUCAAGUGAAGGAUAUUUCAUUAUCCUUUAUUAAUGAAUAAAAAAGUUCUUUCAAAGUUUUCGGUUCACAUGUAAAAGAUACAUCUUACAAGACAUCCCUAAUCAUAUUUUGAUGAACAUUUUAGAUAUUUCUAAAGUUUAAGUCGUGUAAUCUUUAUCUAACAUAGCAGAUUUAUUAAAGUCACUAGAGUUAUAAACUCGAAAACCAUCCAAACCAAAUCCAAUAAAAUCAAACUUGAAAUGAAAAAAAAAUGAGGUAUUGGUUUGCGAUAAUUUUGAUUUUGGGAAUGUUCAAAUCAAGGAAAAAAGGUAUUUUUUAUAAAGAAAUAUUGUGUUUAACAUAUUAACAAACAAAAUUGAUUUUCUAAUACUAACUUAUCCUUUUGUAAUUAUUAACCUACUGAUUAAUUAGAAAAUAAUAUAAUAAACUGCGUAUAAAACUAAGUGACUUUCUAAUGAAAACCUAAAUGGUUUUAAUGUAAUUAAUAAAACAUUUAAAUCUAUGCAUAUAUUAUGAAGUUCAGGUAAUAUUUUAUUUAUACAAUUCUGAGUUUGUGGAAUCCAUUAUCGAAAUUUCAUUAAUUCACAUCAUUUGUUAUCAUAGCUAUAUUAAGCUAUUACACUUCUGAACUAAUUAAAAUACAAUUAAUACAAUAUAUAAAUAUAUACGACAUCAUAAGUGAUGAUUAGAACUACUCUAUAUAACUCUCCAACUUUGCCAUAUAUUUUGCACAUCCCUACCAAGACUUGGUGGUGAAACGUUCAUCACUUACAUUUUCGAUAUGAAAAGAAACUAAUUUUUUUGAGAUGUAUGAUUAUCUCUCAAAAAGUAUCGUUUCUAUGAAUUGAACAUUAACCUUUUAACCAAAUUUAGCGGGUCAUUAUAUUGUUGGUUACUUACAUUACUCAGUUGAUAAUGAGAAGACUAAUGUUUUUUUAAUUUGAAUGCAAGUGUCACCUAAUCAUCAGCAAAGUUAAAUAUUUUAGGUUAGUUUGUUGAUAGAAAACUAUAAAUUUUCUAUAACAUUUUAUUUUUUUCCUAUUACAAAUAAGAGAAUAGCUUUUAUGUUUCCCAAAAUCAAAGACAAGGAAUUGUAAAUCAACUUUAUCUAGUUCAAUUCCGAAUUCCAAGAGUUUAAAAUCAAAAUCGAAAUAUUUCGGUCCAUUUUAAUUAAUAAAAAAUGAUUUUUUUCAUCGAAUGAGAAAAAAAUUCUUGAAACUUAUGUGAUGCAUAGAAAGAGUGAAUUCUAAUAAAGAUCUUACACUUCAUUUUUUGGAAGCUCAAUUCAUCUAAUUAAUAAGGGAUGAUUAAGUUAGAACUUAGUUUUAGUAUUCUUCUAGUUGCGGAUAGCCCUUUUUCAUUUAACCAACGAUGUCUUGACCUUUGAUUCUAUAUCCAUAAUCAUUAUAUUAGAAAAAGGUUUUAACUUUUGUACUGGGUAGUACCUUUGUGCUUUUCUAAUACAUUUCUCUUUGGUGUUUUAAAAAAUGAAACAAGAAGCAUAAAAUAUAAUACCAAUUAAACUGAUAACGAGAAUCCCAAUUAUAGUACCUAUUAAUUAAAAGAGAAAUCAUUCUAUUAUUUUUAUUAUACAAUUUAUGAGCUUGACGUAAUAAAAUUAUUAAUUAGAAUUAUAAGAUCACACGUUCAAAUUCUCGGGGUGUUUAUAUACAACUCAUCUAAAGGUUUGCAACAGUUUUUUCAUUCAUUUCAAAAGUGAAAAAUGUCACUUCUCUUUGUUAAAAAAAAGCAUUAUCAUAUUAUCCUUUUGGAGAGAUGACAACAUAAACCAUACAAGAGGGAAACAUGUCUCUCUUUUUUAUUUGAAAUUUCUCAUUUUAAUGACUGCUAAUAUGAUCAAAUAAUGGAAAACAAAACACGUAGAGUCUCUAUUAUUCCACUAAACUCUUUUAAAAGUAAUCAUUUUGGAAAGCAAAUAUGACCAACUGUGUGUUUCAAACAUAGCAUAAACAUGCAUGAAAACUAAGCUAUUUUCAACCAUCGUGUCUAAGAAUAGGCAUAUUCAAAGACAGAGGAUGUAAGAUAAACAUAAGACCCAUGAAUGAAAGAGACUCUUGAAACACUAUAAAAAAGACAAUGAUUCUAAGUGAAAAAAAUGUCAUUCCAAACACCAUUUGAGUUGUUCAAUUCUCCAUAUCGAAGCAUCUCAUUUCCACCACCAUUGGCUGAAUCAAUACACCAAUUUUGGUUUUGUGUGACAUCUAUGUUGUUUUGCAUCAUCCCUUUGAAACGAUCAUUCACAGCUACAUUCUCAUUCUCUUCAUUGAUGACUUCUCCCCCAUUUGUAAACAUUGGAGACCUUUCUUGGGGUUGGUCCUUAGUGACAUUUCUUUCAAUCUCCUUUAGGGUUUGAUCAAUCCUCCAUGAAAGGCCAUUCAAAUUAGCCAUGCUAACAUUGUUAACAAGGUACCCACUACUCAAACAUUGAUACAUGAGAAGAUCCAUCUCCUUCUUCCUAUUCUCAUUCCUCAACUUCUUCAACUUCUCUUGGGCUUUCAUGAUGCUUUGGUUCAAGAAACUUUCUUGAUUGAACAUCUUUUUGCUUUGUACCAUUUGAGACACUCUACUAAACUUGUAGAGAACCCUUUGGGCUCCCAAAUGGGAUGGCCAAACCUCUGGUUGAGGUUCAUUGGAGUUAUAUAUUAUAGCACAUGCUUCAAUCCCACAAAGGGUACUAAUCUCAUCCAUCUUCUUGAUUAGACCAUGUUUUCUUUUCUUGUAUGUUGUAUUCCUCUUUGAGUCACUAGCUAUGUAUCCUAGGUUAAGCUUCUUUCCUGCCAUGAUUGUGGCUGAAAAAAGGUCAAGAAAGAAAUACAAAAGAUAUCGCUUUUGUUUGUGAUUAUCUUACUAUAGUGUUAUAGUAUAUAUAUAUGCACAUAUAUGAAAAUGUGAGAUAUUUCUAAGUUUAUUUUGGAAAGAGUAAAUUAUACUACAUAUAUAUAGUUUAAUGAAAUUAUAUAAAUUACUUCUCAAUUUUUUAAAUAUACACAUAUCACCCCUAAUAAUAUACAUACAUUACACUAGUUACUUUCGUAGGAGAUAUAAUUGUAAUUUCUUAAACAAAAAAUAGUAACAAGUGUAAUUAAGUUAAACAAAAUAUAAUAUAUUAUAUUGUGAAGAUAAUUCCAAAUAGUAUAAAAAGCAAUGUCUUUUCAUUAUUUUGGUUAGUUAAAAUAUAGUAUAGGAGUGAUUUAAACACCUCUUAAAAUUAUUGAUAAAAUUUGCAACGAAACAAAAAUAAUGAAUAAACAUUGAUUCUUAUACUAUUUAAACUUGUCUUCACAAUAUAUUAUAUUUUGUUUGACUUAAUUAUACUUAUCAACAUUUUUUGUUUUAGAAAUUACACUUAUCUUUUCUACAAGGCAAGGGUAAUCAGUAUAAUGUAUAUAUAUAAUUAGAGAUAAUUUAUAUAUAUUUAAAAAGUGAAUAAUAAUUUGUGUAAUUUUACUACAGUUUCAUGGAGAGUGUGAGUAUAAUUUAUUUAUUGGAAAAAUAUCAAACCUGUUCCUUGUCACUGUCAUCAAAAAGCAGCUAGAUAGAUUUUUACUUGUUAUUUUUUAAAUAGCCUUCUAUUUGUGUUUGGGAAAAAAUCCAAGAGUUUAAUGUGUAUAUUCAAGUAAGUGGGUGAUAAAGUUGUUAUGGGAAAAGGUUGUUGCAUAUUACGAAUUUUUUUGAUUGAAUAUCUUUGCUGAUUUUGCACAGAAUAUGUAUGUAACAUUUAAGUGAAAAGUUUUCUUUUUAGUAUUUUACUAACUAAUUUCCUAAUACAUGUUAUGUUGCAAUCACAACUUUUUCUUAUUUUAUUGAUGCACACAGGUUCACUUAGUAUAGCAACAACUGGUGUGUGCAUAAUAUAUAUGGAACAAAAUAUGUUCAAACAGAUUCUAUUUGAUGGGUUGUUCCGUGCUAAUAAAAAUAUGUCAUAUAAACUAAAAAAGUUAAUUUUUUAUUAUUAUGAUUGUUUUUAUUUCAUUAUCAUUGACAGAGACAAUGUUAUGCACACCCUGCAAUACUUUAUAAAAAACAAAUAAUCAUUAUCAUAUUAAAAAUUUAAUACUAUUGUAGAUAUCUAACCUAAGGAAUUUUAUGAUUGUUUCUUUUAUACAACUACUUAGUUGUUUAUUUAUAUUUCUUGUUUGAGGAGAGUCAAUUUGUUCUUUACUUCUUAUAUGGCAAAACUGAUUGAACUUUUAAUGUUUUAUUCAUGUGAUUUUUGUUCAACUGUUUUUGUGAUAUUUGAUAAGCAACUUGAGACUUACGUCAAUGAUAUAUGUAGCAAUGUUAAAUUUGCUUUUUUGAAAAGAAUAAAAAAUAUUUCAGAUAAGUUGGUUAUAAAGUGGAACACGUAUUGUUUACUCAUUAGUUUAUUUUCUUUUGAAGAUAACAAAUAGUCUUUUCAACUAUGAAAGUUGUGAAAAAAUAGACUGCAUAAUUAAAUGAGUGAUGCAUGAUUAUCUAAUGACUUAUAUUGAACAAUAAGUGUUCAAUAAUAUUGACAAUAAGUUAAUUAUUUAAUAAUUUCAAAUUAUGAAGUCGCUUGAAGAUCAAUUAAAAUAUGUAAUUUAUUGAUUAGAUAUAUUUAAGUUUUAUAGUUUUGACAUUAAUGUUUUCAUUUUUUUAUAUAUAUGAUAAUAUUUAUUAUUUUAAGUUUAAAUAUAUGUUGUGCAUCCUGCCUAUAAGACUAAGAUUUGUCACUAAUCAUUCGCAGGAAACAACUUAUGAAACACGAUGUAAGAACAUAUAUCUUUUAUCAAUAUACAUUUGCUAUAAAUUACUAAAAACUAAAAGUAUGCUACCACUGAUUUGUAAAACCACUGAUAACUCACAAAACAAUUGGCGUAUUUCCUAAAAUGAGAGUGAGAAUUACUGUUUGAUUUGUAAGAAUUCUUUCUAUGCAUAUAUUUUACGUAAGUUUUAGGUAAUUAACAUUAUUUUAUGAUUUUGAUUAUUCAAUUAUUACCUUUAAAACAUUACAUUUCUUAUCUUGAAGGCUCGAUUAAAGGAAAAUGAAAAUCCUGACGAAAAUGGAGCAAAUUCCAAGCAGAAGAGAACCAAUUCUGUUAUGCACAAUCAUACAUUGAUAAUCCUUGCAUGCCAUUCAUAUAUAAUCAAGCACGAUCAUUCUUCACUACAAUUUACAAAUGUUCUUACGAAGUGGAUUUGCACUAUGAGACGAUACAAUCUUAAGUUUUUUCUCUCGGAGAAGAUUUGGUUGUAAAGUGUUGCCAAAAGUACCAAACAUUGGAGGGAUGAGACAAUAGAGCUUUUUGGUCAAGAAUUUGAGUCCCUAAAUAGUUUUACAUUUAACUAUUUUAUUUUUGUUGGGAUGUUUGAAAUAUGUUACUAUAUGAAAUUUCACAUUGUCUAGCAUUAGAAUAGAGUAGAAUAUCAUGUUAAAAAUUCAUAAUUUCUAAUUAAGGUGGUCAUCACAUAUUUAAUACAAUUAUAUUGACUAUUUAUUUUGGGGCACUGUUUGAGAUUAAACUUGUCUCCCUUAGCUAUAAGGGUAUCAUUGGUUUACUUUCUUUCAUACCAAAUCUAUCUAGGACUUUAUCUAUAUAGCUUUCUUGUGACAAUCUAAGUAUACCUUGAGAUCGAUCUCUUAGUAUCUGAAUACCUAAUACAAAAGAAGCUUCCCCAAGAUCUUUCAUUUUGAAAAUUUAUUCAUUAGAAAUCUCUUGGUUUAAUGCAAUAGUCACAUAUCACUGCUAGCAAGCAGUAUAUCAUCAACAUAUAAUAUCAAGAGUAUAAAUUUACUCUCACUGAACCUGUGGCACACACAAUCAUCAACUUUUAUAGCCUCAAAACCAUACGAAGUAAUAACUUGAUGAAACUUGUGAUUCCAUUGACGAGAAGCUUGUUUAAGGCUACUUUGAGCCAACUGACACAAAGUUUUCUGGCUGCACCAUAUAAAUCUUUUCUUUAAUGUCACCAUUUAGAAACACAGUCUUAACAUCCAUCUAAUGUAACUCUAAAUCAAAAUGAGCUACUAGUUCCAAUAUUAUUCUAAAAGAAUCAUUUGAAGAUACCGAAGAGAAGGUUUCUUUAUAAUCAACGCCUUCUUUCUGAGUGUAGCCUUUAGCAACUAGACGAACUUUAUAUCUGUCAAUAUUAUCCUCCGAAUACCUCUUGGUUUUAAAUAUCCAUUUGCAACCAAUAGGUUUCGCACCUUCAGAUAGUUCGACAAGAUCCCAAACAUCAUUAUCAUGCAUAGACUUUAUCUCAUCCUUCAUAGCAUCGAUCUACUUUUGAGAGUUAAAACUUUUCAUGGCUUGACAGAACUUCAAUGGAUCAUUCUCUGUUAACCUGAUGUCAUCUUCAUGUUCUUAAACAAAUACAAUAUAAUCAUCAAUAAUUGUACUUCUCCUCUCUCUAAAGGAUCUCCUUAAUGACACUUAUACUUCUUGAGGUUGUUGAAUUUUUUCAAUAGGUACUUGAGGAAGAACCUAAUUGUUGUCUUGUUCAAGAAUAUUAUCUGGAACAAUAUUCUGAAAAUUGUCUUCUAUUACCGAAGCUAUUCCUUAAAUGACAAUAGGCACAAGAACUUGUUCACCAUUAGUGAUAGGUUCUUCCACAAAGACAAUAUUCUUUAUGUUUUCUUCCUCCCAAAAUCAAAUUCCUUAAGAAAUCUUGCAUUUCUCAUCUCAAAAAAAUCUUGAAGUGAGAUCAUAAAAUUUAUAGCUCCGAGAGCGUUCAACAUAGACAACAAAAUAACAACUAAUUGUUUUUGAGUCCAGUUAUCUUUCAUGUGGCCUAUAAGGCCACACCUCAGCUGGACAACCCCAAAUGUGCAAGUGUUUUAAGCUUGGUCUUUUAUUAGUCCAAAGCUUAUGUGGGGUUUUGUUAACUACUUUACUUGGCACCCUAUUAAGGAUAUAAACUACGGUCUUCAAAGCUUCACCCCAAAGAGACUCUAGUAAGGAAGAAUGAUUAACCAUACUUCUCACCAUAUCUUUAACAGUUCAAUUUCAUCGCUCAAUAACACACUUCAUGGUAGGUUAGUUUAGCAUAGUGUAAUGUAAAACAAGUCCAUGUUCUCUAAGGAAAAACACAAAUAGUCCUUUCACAACAUCCUUAUUGUUCUUUCUUUUCUUAUUCUGAGAGGUCAUAAUCAAAUGAGCACUUUCAGUCUUCUCUCUCUACAGUCUCUCUUUCUCUUGCACACACUGAGAUAUAAACUCAUUAUGAGACCAUUUGUCUUUCUGAGUGUUAUAGCUUACUUUGAAUGGCCCGAAGUGUGCAUGAAGCGAGAUCAAAACCAAGUGCACGAGCAAGCCAUCAUCAAGCUCUAACUUAAGUGACUUGAGUUUUGAUGUGAGAUUAGACAUCUCCAUAAUGUACUCCAAAAUAAUCCAUUUGCCUUUAUACUUCAUGGAGAUGAGUUUAGCCAAAAAGCUACUCGUCUCCGCCUUUUUAUUUUUGACAAAGUAUGAUUCUAUUUCUUCAAGAAACUUCCUUGUACUCUGACCUUCAUAAAUAUAGCUCCGAAAUGCGUCUGGAAUAGAGUGUUUCAUGAUCGUUACGCACAUAGGUUACAGCGUUCUCCUGUCUCAAUUUUAACCUCAUCGAGGAUUUCCGGAUCUAAAUCCAGACAUCCGUGAAUAAUUUCUAAGACUUCCUUCUAGACCUUAAAUUUUGUCCCAUUGAGCAAUGAGAUUUUCUUAAUUUGAGCAUAAAUAUUUACAACUACUAAAAGAACAAAACAAAUUGCAAUCAUUCUUGCAAUUAAACUCAUAUUUAACUUUAAUACUUAAAUUCAAAUGAUGAUGGAGCACAACAUUAAUAUUUAGUCUUUAGACAAAAUAUUAACUUCAAAGUGGUACACUCAAUGUAGUAAUCAAACAUUGAUAAUUAGUCCUGUCAAACAAUAAGUCAUUAUUUUGACUGGCUUACUAUUCACAUGGAAAAUCAUUUGAUUAUCACAUAUUUAUUGCUACUAGUAUGUUUGUAAUUUGGGCCAAAUAGUAAUCUUCCUUUGGGCUGAUCACUAUUCGCAUAAAAUGCAAAAUUAUAAUUGGCUUGAUCUUUCUUAUCAAUCACUAAUGAUACUCUUGUUUGUAACGGUCAAACAUUAAUCAUAAUGCAUGUCAAAUGAUAAAUCCUUCUUUGGACUAAUUUAUCAUUCACAUAUGCAACUUUAUAUUAAUCACAUGUUUACCAUCACAUGCGUUUAUAUAAUCCGCCCAAAUAAUAAUCUUCCUUUGGGCGAUUAAUACUCACAUGGAUACAUAUACGCACUAGCAUUUGACAUUUAUUAUGAACAAUUCACAUAAAAGACAUCACUUUGGCGACUUGUUUAAUAGGUUCACUUAAAAUGUCAAACAAUUUUAUUUUCCAAAAGAAAAAACCAUUUGGUUGAGUUUGAUUCAACACUUAAUCCAAAACAUAUAUUAUUUAUAUCAACAUACAAAUACAUAUAUCCACUAUAGCCAAUUGAUAGUAUUAUAUCAUUCUCAUCACAAGGAUGUGCGCUUCGAAUUCUAGUGAUGGUCCUUUUGAAUUUUCCAUUAAAAAGAUAUUAUCAUUUUAUAUAUGACUAAACAUGGCAUGAGACACUAUCCAAACAGAAAUAGUGCUUCAACAAUAGCAACAUCUUAAUAAUGCAAUCAGACACAAAUCAACGCAACAAACCAUGAAGUGUUGCAACCAUUUAAACAAACAUGUUCACAUAAUAGACUCAUCGUAAUAUAUAUAGCACAACAUCAAUUUGUAGUCUUUGGACAGAGAAAUUAAUUUGUAAGUGAUACUCUCAACGUAAUGAUCAAAUAUUAACAAUUAGUUGUAUCAAACAACAGCCUUUCUUUGGACCGACUAUUUUUCACAUGAAAAAACUUUAUAAUUUUUACUUAUUUAUCAUCACAUGUAUGUUAUUAUUUGGCCAAAUUGUAUCUUCUUUUGGGAUGAACACAAUUCGCAUAAAUAAUCUCAUACUCAUCUGUGUAAUCUUAAUCAAUUUCCACAAUAUAGGUUACUUUGACAACAUAUUACAUCAAUUAAUUCAAAAAUAAUUAGCAGACAAAAGGAAAACAAUAUGAGUACAUUAUAAAAAAUUAUGAUCUUGGAAUUAAAAUCUUCAGAUUUGAUAUCUUUUAUGAUUAAUAAAUCUAAUCCAAUAAUAUAAUUUGAAAUAAAAAAAAAGAUAUAUUACUUAUAUAUCAGCGCAUAAAAAGUGGAUGCAAUCUUAAAUACAAAGUAGAUCCACAGUGAAAAAGCAUAAAAAAAUAUAUGCAAAUCAUUAUCAUAAAAAUUACAAAUUGAAUAGAUUAUGCAUAUCUUAAAACAUAUAUGUAAGACUAUAUAUAUAUAUACUUUCACACACUAACAUAAUAAAGUAUAUAUAAUUUUAAGCAUUAACCGUAACCAUUAUAUAUAUUAACUUUAAUCAAUAAUUCCAAACAUCACAACAACCUCAAGCUGGAAACAAUUACAUAUGUAAAUAUGUAUAUUUUAAUUCACAAUAUAAUCAAGGUUAGGAAUUCCAGAUUGUAUAUGUAUAAAAUAAAAACACAUCUUAACACAAAUAUACCUUAUACAUAUAGUUUAACAAAUUGCAAAAUUGUAAAGUGACAAAGUCAAUGUCCAACAGUAAGGCAUUGGUGCACAAACAUAGAUCACCCGUCUCAAACAGUGUCACAAUCCCUGUCCCAAACGAAUCAGAUUGCUACAUUUUAUAACGUUUUGUUUUUAAAUUAUUUCUUUUAUUUGCAUUUCAAUGUGAUUGACUUGGGACAGAGAAUGAGACACCGUUAGGAACAUAUGAUCCUCAUCCUUAAUGCACAUAUAAUAUACAUAUUGCAUAACAGAGUCAUAAAUAUUAAUGCAAUGUUCAUGCAAAAAUCUGAAUAUAUACUUCAACACAUGUUGCAAGGAUUUAUAAUAUAAAUUAAUCAUAAUUCAAAUAAGCGGGAGGGGAUAAAAGUUAUCCUCAUUAUUCCUUAUACCCAAUUUUAUAACCAAUAGCAGAAGCAUAAAAAUCCUCAAAUUUAAAAGUUAGGGUUCAUAGAAAAUUGGGGGAAAUCAACUUUAAUGGAAAACCAUAAAAUUCAGAACCUAGUAGCUCUGAUACCACUUGUUAGAUAUUUCUUGAUGAUUUGUGAAAUAUCAAUCCUAGGAUCUUGAAUAUCCUGAUUCUCACACAUAAUAUAAAACAAGAGUACAAAGUCAUGCCUGAAUUCAUGUUCUCUAGUCUACUCCUUUGAUAUACAUUUUGCAAGAGUUUUGGUAUGAUGACAUUCCUCAACCAAAUCCUCAAUUCAUUUUGGGACCUUCAUUUUCUCUAUGAUGAGGAGAUGUAAAAACUAUUUGUGAUUUGGUGUCUUUGGGACCAUAACCGUUCCUUAUGUGUUAACUUAUAGGGUUCUCAUUAUCCCAUAUAGGCCAACCAUUUGGGUAUCCACUCAUUAAGCCCAUAUUUAUUAUCACUUCUAGAAGUCUUAUGAGUUGUCAGAAAUUAGAUCACUUGUUUUGUAACCCGAAAAUAAAUAGUCAAUAUGAUUGUAUUAAAUAUAUGAUGAUCACAUUAAUUAGAAAUUAUGAAUUUCUAACAAUCUCACACUUGGACUUCAUAUUUUCCUGAAACAAUUAUAUCACAUAUUCUUUAUGCGCCCAUCUGUAUGCUAUUUAUAUUUAGACUUCUCCUUAAUAGAAUCCGAUUCAUCUCAUAUAUCAACUAUGGAACCACCGUGACCUUCAUCACAUUCAAACAUGACUUGACCACGAUGAUCACCAUACCAAUAUACUAAAUGACAUAGAUCAAAUAUGGAUGAGUAACAAGGAAAUUUCAUGCAAUGUGAUUUUAAACAUGUCUAUUUUCAAAUGGUCAUUCUUUAUUCUUUAGUGAGAUCAAUCCAAAGUCCUUAAUUGUAACACAAUAUUUACAAUAUACAAGUUCAAAAUAGAACAAUAAACCAUAAACUUUAUUAUGCAUAAAACUAUAUAUGACGUCCAAAGUAAAUCAUAAAAUAUAUAGACUCCCACUGAACUAAGGUAUCCUAAGGAGCAAUAUUCAUAGGAGCAAUAUGCUCAUGAAAGACUUUAGAUACCAAACCUUUACUCAGUGGACCAGCUAGCAUAAAAUUUGUCCUUAUAUGUUCUAUAUAAAUUUGUCUAUUUUGAAUACUUUCUUUAACAACCAGAAACUUGAUGUCAAUAAAAUUUGACUUUGUAGAACUCCCAUUAUUAUUGGAGUUAAGAACCGCAGACUUAGUGUCACAAUAAAUUCUCGAUGGUCUUUUAAAACCGUCGAACACACAUAAGCCAGUGACAAAAUUUCUGCAACCAUAUGAAAUGGUCUGAUGUUUCAAAACAAACCAUGAACUUCGUAAUCAUGAUUGAAGGAGCUAUGGGCAUCUAUUUAGCAUACUUCCAAGAGAUAACACCUUUAGUAAAGAUAAACAUAUAUCUAGAGGUGGAGCGUUUGAUGUCUAGACACGUAAAAAAUCAGAGUCAGAGUACCCAAUGAUUUCUAAAUUCUCAGACAUCCAAUAAGUUAGCAUGUACUCAUUUGUUCUCUUUAAGUAACGUAUAACACAUUUGACUGCCUUCCAGUGAUACUUUACAUGAUUGUUCAAAUAUCUUUUCAAAACUCCCACGACAAACGCUACGUCAGGACGUGUACAAACUUGAGCAUACAUUAGACUUUCUACUACAGAUGCAUAAGGAAUCUUUUGCCUCUCGUAUCUUUCAAGAUCACUUUUGGGGCACUGUUUGAGACUAAACAUCCUAUUGCAGGUGGUUCCAUAGUUGAUAUAUGAGUUGAACUAGAUUGUAUUAAGGAGAAGUCUAAAUAUAAAUAGCAUACAGAUACACGCCUAAAGAAUAUGUGAUAUAAUUGUUUCAGGAAAAUAUGAAGCCCAAGUGGGAGAUUGUUAGAAAUUCAUAAUUUCUAAUUAAGGUGGUCAUCAUAUAUUUAAUACAAUUAUGUUGACUAUUUAUUUUGGGAUUACAAAAUAAGUGAUCUAAUUUAUGACAACUCAUAUGACUUCUAAAAGUGAUAAUGAAUAUGAGCUUAAUAAAUGAAUACCCAGACGGUUAUGGUCCCAAAGAUACUAAAUCACAAAUAGUUUUCACCUCUCCCCAUCAGAGAGAAAACGAAGGUCCCAUAAGGAAUUAAGGAUUUGGUUGAAGAAUGUCAUCAUACCAAAACUCUCUCAAAAUGUAUAUCAAAGGAGUAGAUCAGAGAACAUGAAUUCAUGUAUGACUUUGUAUCCUUGUUUUAUAUUAUGCGUGAGAAUCAUGAUAUUCAAGAUCCCUAGGAUUGGUAUUUCACCAAUCAUCAAAAAAUAUCUAACAUAUCAAUGUUAUAUAUUAGACUAAGCUCCCUUGUUAUUAUGUGCACCAGAUAUAUAUACCAAAUAAAAGCGCCAAAUAGAAACACUUCAUAUGCACUUGGGCCCAUAGGUGUGUUAGAGCUUGUAAUCCUUAGUCUAUAAUAAUAUCUUGAUAGCCGGUCAAUACUCCCGAGAUGUAAGCACAAUUAGUCGAACCAUGUUACCAAGUUCUCUUAUUUUUCUCUUUUAUUUCUUUUAUGUCAUUUAUUUGAUUACUUGUGGCCAACGUUGCACAACAAUCGCUUCCACUGCGCAACGAUCGCUUCCACUGCACCAACAAUUUUCCACUACAUGGUAUUUACUUUUUUGAUUGAUUAGUUAUUUGUAUAUUGAAAAUGCAAAGUGUCAAGUAUAGCACUAUUAGAUUGCCUAUGUUUUGAUGAAGACAAGGAUUUAGUGAAAGCUUGAAGAUGACUCAACAAAUCAACAUGUCGUGGACUCAAGGGUUUCAUAUAUAGACUAGGUUCCUUAAAAGAGUCAUUAUUAGAGUCUUAGAUAUGUGCCUUAGAUAUUGAGUCUAAGUUAGGUAAACUUAGAUGCAAUUCUCACAAGCCUUAAAAAUAAUCAAUUCAUUUACAUGAGACAUGACAUCUAAAUUAUUAUAUAUUCAUGCAUUAAUCAUACAUGUCACUUGUGCAUCUUAGGCAUAAUAUAUUGAUAAAACAUGUAUAGUUGAUGAGCAUAACAUAUAUGUAGCUUACCAUUUAUUCAUCUAGCUGAAAAAUAUGUCAGUUAAUCGAUUAAGGAAUGUGUUAAUCGAUUAAUGUGAGUUCAGUUUUAACAGAUAACUGAAAACCUGAAAACAGUUAUUCUCAACAACCCAUGAAUUGAUUAAAAGUGCACUUAAUCGAUUAACUAGAUCCCAAAAAUGUUUUCUAUAUAAACUGUGUUUUUAGGUCAUGCACUAUAUACAUCAUAUCAUUCAUUUUUAGAAUUGCUAGUUGCAUAUUUUUCAUGCUUAAUUGUGUCAUAUAGGCAGCGUGAAAUGCAUUGUGAGAUAGUGAGAGAUAAUAUCAUGUUUAGAGUUCAAUUGUCAUCCAAUUGCAUGUGAUUAAUGUGUUAAACUUUGUUAUCUUUUCUUGCAUGAUUCUUGCAUUUCUUUAGAAGAAUUUUAGGGUAGAAAUUCUAUGUUUCUGCAUAUUAAUGAACUCAUACAUAUUCAUGUUAACUUGUGAGUUUUGUAUAGGGUUUUUAGCUGAGUUUCAAUUGUAAUAUUUUGAGCUACAUUGUGCUUAAUAAUACUCUAUUUUUAUACUGUUUCUGUGUUGUAAUAAAGGAAGUCGUCUCUUGGUGUCUUACCACCUAAGAGAUUCAGUGAGUCUUAACCAAAACUUAGAGGUCUUGAGUUUAGAACGCUUUCUUGGCUGGGGCUAGAUCGUAAGAAAUGUUUUCUUAGGCGAUUGGGAUAGUCAAACCAAGAAAGUGGGUUGUUGGAUUCAAGAAGGGAGCGUCUAAGUGUUUGUAUUGGAAGUGUGCAUGUAACAAUACAUUCGUUUCAAUAUUAGUGAAGAAAAUCUCAUGAGAUCAGAAGGGGAGGCCUGGAUGUAGUUUGCAAGUGGACCCGCAAACGAACAAGUAUAAAAUUCCUUGUUGCAGACUUUUUCUAUCCCUAAUCUCUUUACAUUUCAAGUUGUAAUAUUGCCUAUUUUUAGCUGAUAUUUUGGAUACUGUAAAUUUUCUAUAUUGAGUUUAAUUAUGUUCAAAUAUAUAUGUUUUAUCUGUUUUUGAAUAUCGGUGAGUGACUGUGCAAAAAGUCAUUCCGCAACUUGCUGUUUUCUGUGAGUUAAUCGAUUAAGAUAGGGUGUUAAUCGAUUAACUGAGACUUUUUCCAGAAUAAAGCUGCGUGCGAAAAGCGAUAAUUGGUAAUCGCGACACCUAUUCAACAUUCUAGGUGUGUUCUGUUCACUAAUACCUAAUAUAUAUAUAUAUAUAUAUAUAUAUAUAACUAAUUCCUUUAGCUAUGGUGGAGAAAGGAUUUUGGAGUUUUAUUUAUGCUGUGACGAGAUGAAUCAGAUUAGCCUAGGAGUUAAUUAUAUAUGCGUACUAUUAUGGCUGAAGAAAAGAACUUUGAGUUGAUGAUGACUAAAGGACUGUCUCUGCGCAGACACAAUGCACAUUUUCUCAUGACUCAGAUCACAUCAACGGUGAUUGUGUUUUGAUGAACAAGUUGAAAGAGUCUGUAGUUGAGAACGUAAGCUCCAGAUUGAGAGAGGUAAAUAUUUACAAAUGAUCGUAACAUGAUCAUAAGAUCCUAUCAAAGAUUAACAAAAAUAAAUUAUAAACAUUCACAUAGACACAAAAAGGUUUAUGUAUUGUAUCCAAUUGGAUUAAAUUAAUUUCACUACAAAAAUGUAUUAAAUUAAAACUGAAGUCUAUAUUUAAAACAUUAAAAGUAAGUUAUUAAAUAUGCUGAAUUAGGUAACCAACAAAAAAAUAAUCUCAAUUAAGAAAAAAAAUAUAUACGUCACUUUUAAAAACAAAACACUUACAUUUUAAUUAAUAAGAACUACUAGUUACUAUGUCUUUCGUAAACCCAUUAUUUUUAAAAGAAAAGAAAAAACUCAUUAGACUGGAAACACCACUAAACACACAACAUCUCCUUUUUUACUUUAGUGAACACACAGUUUUUUUAUUACCCUGAUUUAUUAAUAAUGAAUCCGGGUAAUAAAAGAUUACAAAUGUGAUGAUUAUAAGAUUACAAAUGUAACGAUUAUAAGAGUAUGAAUAGGAAAGUUGGUGAACUAAGACAAUUCUAGUCUAUGGGAUUUGCCACCCACACCUGAUAAAUCAUAGUCGGCGUGUGCAUUUUUCCAUUGAUCAAUAGUUAUGUCUUAACUUUUUUUAUUGAAUAGAAGGUGUCUGUGAUAGAUUUCAUUUUGGAGUUGAAGAUAACAUUGUUUUUGUUAUCUAAAUGCAUCAAAGUAUUGCUAACCAAAGGAUUUUUCAGUGUUUUCUACAUUUUUGUUGAUUGGUAAACCCAAGGAGGAAAUGGUUAGUUAUGUUAUUGGGAAGUACAAUGUUGAAACAUAGCCAAUUUUAAAUUAACUAUUACUUGUUUCGGUUCGGUUUUUGGUAUAUUUUAGUGACCGAACACAAACACACGGUUCAAUUCCACUCAAUUAACCACAAAUUUAACAUUACAAAAGAACCGAAGCGAACCGCUCUUGAAUGGUUAAGUUCGGUUCCACGGUUUUUCCAAUUACUUUUUUAUAAAAAAAUCUUACAUCACAUAUAUAAUAAUAAUAAAAUGAAUUAUCACAUAUAUAAUAAUAUAAUAAAUAAUUAGUAACAUAUAUAACAAUACAAUUCACAAAUAUUAACAUUAUAUCAAUUAGUAAAAUAUAUUAUAGUUUACAUAUAUAACCUUAUAAUUCAAAAUUAGUAACACACAUAACACAAUACAUGUAUAACAAUAUAUGGUAUAUGUUAGUUUCAAACUUAAUACUAUAAAAAGUAGAAGAUAUAUACCAAAUUAUCAAGACACUGAGAAACAAUUUAAUAAGUAAGAACAUCUAUAAUACUAACAUAAUAUCAAUAGUAAUAUAUAUAACACUACAAUUCACAUAAAAUUGAUAAUUUAAGCCAUAAAAUUGGUUGAAGAAUUUAAAAAACAUUAAAACAUCAUUGUCUAGUAUCUAUUUCUUUAUUAUGUGGUUCGGUUCAAACGGUUCCUAAAUUCCUAAAACCAUAAACCGAACCGAACAUAAAUGGUUUCUUUAAAAAAUAACUGAACCGAUCCGUGACACCGAACCGAACCACAUUUUGCAUUCUGGUUCGGUUUCAUCGGUUUCACGGUCUAAACCGGAACUGCUUACACUCCUAAUUAUAUGGCUAUCCAUAAUAUGCACUACGCAAGUGUUGUCAUUCAACAUCGCUUAUUUAAGAUGUAUAACAGCGCUUUCGAACGCUUUAUGUUUGACUGUAGUAUAAUGUCAUCAUUAACAACGCUUCACAAACGUUGUUCUAUUGAUUAUAUACCACAUUGUAACACACAAAAAGCACUAUUAUAUACUGCAUCAAUACAACAUUGCAUCAUCCACAAAGCGCUGUCAUAUAGGUCUUACAUAAACAACGCAUUUUAUAGGUCUUAUUAAUAGCACUUUGUGGACGAUGCACUGUUGAAGUUCAUAUAUUUAACAGCGCAAUAACAGAAAAGCGUUGUUGUAUUAUUCAUAAAAUUUCUCAAGCAACACCUUAAUACAACAGCGCAUCACACGCAUAGCGUUGUUGUAUUAAUAAUGUACAACAUCGCUUUCUAUAAAAAGCAAUGUUGUAGUUAUCCUUUUCAACAACUCAUGUCAGGGCUUCCCCUAGAAUUCGCGGUUGAUUUGUAUAAAUUAAUACAUGCAUAUAUAUUUAUUAGCAGAACAAACAUUCUCAACAGCACAAACAUUUAUACAUUCUAAACAACAUAGACACAUUAAUACACGCCAAAAGUUUGUUUUAUUAACAUCAAUACAAUACAAAAUAUAAACAAUGAAUAUCAUGUCAAUUAUGUUUUGACAGGAAUACAUAAUUACAAAUAAAAAAAUUACACAAAUUACAAAGAAACAAUAUUAUACAAAUUACUAACAAUCAAAAUUAAGCUAUAAUUAUACAAACACUACUUGCAUCUACUUUUUCCUUUUCUUUGAUUGUUUUUGUCUUGUAGGGUAAUCCUUGUUUGGAGGAGCAUAUUGAUUUACCCAAAGCCCUUCAUCGUGAUCAUCUCUGGUAUAUAAAUCAUCAUCCGUAGUUGGUCCACUCUCACGCGACUGACAUAUCCCCAAAAAGGAUCAUCUUCAUCAAUAUCUUCAUAUUCUUGGUCAUCAAUAUUAUUCACAAUUAUUUUGUUAGUUAAAAGAACAAUGGAUCAUUUCUUAUCAGUUAGGUCACUAACAUAGAUUAUUUGUUGAGCUUGUGAUGCUAGAAUAAAUGGUUCAUCUUUAUAUCCUGACCUAUUAAGAUCCACCUACAUGAACCCUAACUCAUCAACUCGGAAGCCAUUAUUUUUAUCAACCCACGUACAAUAGAAAAUCGGCAUCCGAAACAUUGUGUAAUCCAAUUCACAUAUUCGUUAAAUAACUCAAAGUAUGACAUGUUCACAUAUAUUUGGUUUCUAUCUUUUGCACUUGACAUGUGUAAAGUUCGAGCUACAAGAGUUACAUCACUAUUUUGCAUUUUACUUUGAUAAUCUUGUUUUUCGUAUAAAAUAUGAACCCAUUAAUUAUGUAAUCAGUGUAGGAUAAGACAUGAAUGCUUGGACCAUUGGGCAACCAUUUCAAUCUUUCGGAAAUCGAAUGUGCAUUUAACUUUUUCCUUAUUAGCAUCUCCUUGUGAAUAAACACCGAUUAUGAUAUUUGGAAAUCCAAUUCUCAUUCUUACUUGGGUAAGACUUCCUUAGCAUCUCCUUGUGUGUUUCAACAUAUGGUUCAACCUCAUCGGCAUUAUGUAAAACAUAUAAGUGUGUUUGCUCCAAUUCGGUUCUUGUUAUAGUCAAUAUUUCCUUCCCAUUAAUACCUUCAUCAAAUGAAUUUUUUGCAUAUCGAGGCUUUGGAAUGCCCAUGAAAUCACCAUUGGUAAGGUAUUCAAUACAAAAAUCAAGAGCUUCUUCAACAACAUACCGCUCGACAAUACAACCCUCUAGUAUUGAUCGGUUCUUCACAUGCCCUUUUAAUGUCUUCAUAUAAUGCUCAAAGCGGUACAUCCAUCUCAUAUAUAAAGGGUCACAUAGUUGUGUCUCUCGAACAAGAUGAAUGCUUAGAAGAACCAUUUUAUAAAAUAAAAAAAGGUGGGAAAUAAAUUCCAAGCUCACGCAAAGUCAAAAUAAUUUGUAUUUGCAAUGUAGGUAAUUUAUCAGGGUCAAUCACUUUGCAACAAAUUGCCUUGAAGAAGAAGCAUAACCUAGUUAUGGUUCCUCAAACUUUUUUAGGUAGAAUUGACCGUAUUCCAAUAUGCAAGAAAUGUUCCAUAAGUACAUGACAAUCAUGAGACUUAAGACCUUUUAACUUGGGGUCUUUCAUUGAUAUGAGGUUCUUAAUGUUGAAAGAGUACCCCUCUGGAACUUUAACACCAUGCAUAAAUUUACAAAAUUCCAUUUUCUCCUUCCUCGACAAAGUAUAAGCUGCUGAGGUAGAAAUGUACGUUUUCCCUUCAUUAUCGGCCUCAAUUCUUUUCUUAUUCUCAUACUAACCAAGUCAAACCUUGUAUUCAAGUCAUCUUUGGUCUUACUAGGGACAUUGAGUAAGGUACCAAGGAAACUUUCAAACACAUUUUUUCAAUAUGCAUAACAUCGAGGAAACUUCUUGCAUAUAAUGAACUCCAAUAUGACAAUUCAAAGAAGAUUGACCUUUUCUUCCAUCCACUUGUGACAAUUUCUUUUGCAAAAGGUUUACCAAAGUUAGUAUUCAAACACUUUAGCUUUUGAAAUAAUUGGUCAUCUGUUAACGACAAAGGAGCACGACCUUCUUCAUUAUUUCCAUCAAAUGCUUUUCACCAUCGUCGAUAGUGAUGAUCUGAGGGCAAAAAUCUACGAUGGCCAAGGAAGACAUUCUUCUUAUAGUUUUCCAACCUCAUUGAAUGAGUAUUGUCUUCACAUACAAGACAUGUAAAAUGUCCUUUUGUACUAUAUCUAGAUAGAUUACCAUAUGCAAGGAAAUCAUUGAUUGUGCCGAACAACAAAGUCCUCAAGUUGAAGCUUUCUUCCCUAUACACAUCAUAUACAUUUAUGCAUGUCGCCCACAUUUGAUUCAAGUCUUCAAUUAAUGGAGCCAAAUAUAUGUCUAUGUCAUUUCCUGGUUGUUUAGGUCCAGAAAUUAACAUAGAUAACAUCACAUAUUUGUGCUUCUUGCAUAGAGAAGGAGGUAGGUUGUAUAUCACCAACAUCACUGGUCAUGUAUCGUGGGAGCAACUUUGAACACUAUGUGGGUUAAUUGCAUUUGUUGACAAUGUCAGACGUAGAUUUUUUGAUUCUUAACCAAAACUAGGAUAAUCAUGAUCAAUUUUUCUCCAUUGAGGCGAAUCUGUAGAAUGUCGAAGCUUGCCAUCUUUCAUCCUUUCUUAACCAUGUCAUGUCAACUUCUUUCCAUAUUUGGCAAUGCAAAACAUACGCUUGAAUCUUGCUUUGAUGGGAAGAUAGCAUACAACCUUUUUGGGAAUUGAGUAUUCUUUCUUAUAUAUUGAUGCAUUACAUUUGGGACAAAACUUUAAUGAUUUCACUCCUUCUUCAUACUCCAUCGUCAAUCGAUUGGCACUCAUCCAUUUUCGAUCCAUUUUCUAUUAACACAAAAAUAUAAUUAUUAUGUAAUUAAAGCUUGGAGUUAAGCUCACCAAGUAGAGCAAAUGCAUUAUUAUGUAAUUAAAAAUGGGGGAACCCUAACUCAUAAUGUAAGCUAAAUGAGUCGGAACUCGGAAACCCCAACUCAAUACAAGCUAAAUGAGUGAAAUCAUUCAAUAUAAGUUAAAUACAAUGUAAUUAAAAAAACAAAUAAUUAUACGAAAAACUCAUUUGCAAUUCGGUGUUGAAUGCAUGAAUGAUGAUUUUGAGGUUCAACGAGUGAAAAAAUAUCGAAAUUGGUGUUGAAUGAUUUUCGUAUUGAAUGAGUGAAUGAUUUUUGGUGUUGAAUGAGUGCAUGAUGACGAGGUUGAAUGUUUUCGAGGUCGAUUUUGAGAGUAAAUGUGUUCCGCUGCUGCGUAAAUGAGUGUUGGGAUUACUGAUGAAUGUGUGAGAAUACGGGAACAUUUUAUUUUUUUUAGGGUCUGAUAGUAUCUUCAACAACGCAUAAUGAAGAUGGUGCUGUCAAUAAUACAUAAUCAACACCGCAUAGUGAAGAUGGUAUUGUCAAUGAUACCUAAUCAACAACGCAAUCUUAAGGAAACACUGCGGAAGAACUCCCCAUUCAAAUAUAAAGAAUGAAAGUAUUCCACAGCGCAAUCUUUAGGAAACAUUGUGAAAUAUAUAAUAAUUUUUUUACGAAUUCAUUUUUUUUAAUGAAAUUCAAAUUAGUAAUUACAUUAUGACAUUUAAUUAAUGACAAUUAAUUAAAUAUAUAGAACAAUUAAUAAGACAAUAAAUAACAUUCAAACAAUUAAUCAAGUAAGCACUAAGUUAAGCGAUUAAGUGCAUAUGAAAUAGUUUUGUUGAUCAUAUCGAUAGUGCUUCUUACCGAAUGCGCUGUUGUAUAGCUAAAAGAGAAUAAAUGCGAGAUAACUAUUCAACAACGUUUUUUUAUGAAUGUGUUAUUGAAUUCAACGUAAUCAACAAUGUUUUUUUUGUGUGAAUACAUUGUUGCAUUCAACGUAAUCAACAGUGCAUUGUUAAAAAAACGUUGUUGUAUAGGUAUAACAACAGUGCAUUCAUAAAAAAAGUGAUGUCGAAGACAAUUAUUCCUAAUUCUACACAGUUACGCAUACAACAUAAAAUAACCUGAAUACGUAGAGAAACAGAACAUAACAGCAAAAUGAAUGUAUAUGGAAACACCAAAUGACAACUAUAUGAACACAACUGAAUUUCAACUGAAUUUAUAUAUUGAACAAUAAUUACAUUGUAAUGUUUAUAUAAACAUAUAUUACAUAGACCAAAUCAUGUAUAUUAGAUUGAACAUUAAUUGAAUUCUCUAAGCUACAAUCUUUGCAAAACUAAUCUACUAUACAUUUAGCUAUGAUUUGUCAACAUAACUAAGUAUAAAGUUUGACAAUUGUUCUCUAAUAUGGUUGACUUCGUCAUCCGUAUAUGAUUUGCCAACAAUCUUGAUUUAAUUAGUUGGCUAUUGUUGAAUGAUCUCCUUCAUGAAUUUCAGCAUGUAAUAGUCGUAUUCUACCUAGUUUGUUUGACAAGGGGUCUACAAUUAAAAUCAAGUAAACAUAUAAGUAUAAGCUUAGUUGAAAUAUGAAUACAUAACAUAUAUAAUUGUUUGAGAUGAUUUGUGUCAAUACCUUUAUAUGAGUCCACUUGAUUUUGUGAUUUGGUAACUUGUUUCUAGCAUGAUUAUAGCUUCUGUAAACUCUCAUCGCACUAAACAAUAUAAAAUGUACUUAAUUACUAAACAUAUAGGAAAGUGAAAGUGUAACUAAAAGUUUAAAUGAGUAGUCCACUUACCUAGAAAACAAAUCUUUCAUAGCAUGGUACUUGUUCAGAUCACCAUGUGUUAAUGAGUCAAAAUAGUAUAUUUCUUCAUUGAUCUGAUUGAUGGCAACCAAAACCCAAUGUUGCCUAACAAAACAUAUGUACAUGCUUAGGAAAUGUAAAGCACAACAAACAUACUAAAGAAAUAAAUAUAAAAGACAAUUAAAAAACGCUCACCCGAUAUUAAAAGGUGCAAGAAAUAAAACUGCAUCUUCUUUAUGAAGGAUGAGAUUAUCUGUAAUUCGUUCUCUCUCUUCCAUAAUCUUAUUUUUAUCUCUCGACACCAAAGCGGUAAGGUAUGGGAUAUGAACAUCAUAUUUUUCUUAUUUACCGAAAUAAAAUUUUCAUACAAGUACCUAAUAAUAUAACACAAAUGUUAGUUAAGUAUAACACACCGCCACGCAAAAGUGAGAAGUUAAGAAAACAUAAUUUGCCUCAUAUAUAUACAUACAACAGUUGUACCUAUACAAUCAUGUUUAUAUACAUCCUAGACUUCAUUAAUGCCAACGUAUUCAUCAAUAUUAUCCCUGAAGACUUCCUUGAGAAUUGAUAUAAUUAUUAUACCAUCUCCCAACUUCUGUAUAUGCUCCAACAGUUGAGUACAGUAUUUGGUAGUCUUCUUGGAGCUCACAUAUUUAGUAGAUGGCUUUGAGCUCACAUCCCCGAAGGUGACUUAGUCUUUUACGUGUUACUGGGGUGAAAUGUACAUUUUCCUGAAAUAAUCAAUAAAAACUUAUCAAUUAUAGAUCAAUAUAUAUAUAUAUAUAUAUAUAUAUAAUAUGAGUGAGCAUAAGGUAAAAAAUCAUACCUUAGAAGGACUUACUUGAACAAGGUCUACUAGCCAAGCCACAAAAGUGUCUAUAGCCCAUCCAACUGUGAAGAUAUCCUCAUCGAGAAGAAAUGACAGCAACGCAUCAUCAUCAACUAACUGCAAUGUCAAUCGAGACCUUCACAUGAUGGAAUGGAAUACGUGCAUUAUGCAGCAUAGCAUCGGUCGACUUGUGCACUUUCCCAACACCCACUACUCGGCUAGUUGGGGUAUCCAGAAAUAGUUUGUAAGAAUUAAUUUCUUGUACGUAAGUUAAAACAUAUAAUUAGUUAUCGACUAAAUUAAAAUAAAUUAACUAAAUAAAAAUAAGUUAACUAAAUUACCUCAAAAAUGGGAAUCAUAAUAUGAAUGUUGUAAGGUGCAGGUCUGCAACUCUCAUUGACGGUUGAAGGAACAGUACCAACAACACUAGAUAGUCGUUGCCACUCAGCUUCCUUCACCUUCAUUGAUUGCUCAAAUUCAUUGAACCGUUGCAUGGGGUCAUCUACUUGAUUUUGAACCUGACUCAUUUAGCUUUUGGUUACAAGCUUUGGAUGGGGUACAAAUCGUUGGCUGACCCCAAAUCCUGCACUUCGGAUACGGCCAGGGUAGAUAGGCAAUCCUAGUGCCUUGUCAAGUAUUAUGAGACUGUCCGGGUUUGCUUCCUUUUCUUUUAGGGCAACCUGACAAAUCAAGAAAAAACAUAAUGUUAAUUAAUCACAUUUUGUUAAAUAAAGUAUGGAAAUUAAGCAUAAUUAAAAAAUGAGCACUUACAACACAUCUUGCCGCUUCUUGAACUUCCUCAUCAUCGAUGACACCAUCCUUGUUCUUACGAGCAUCCCACCAUAGAACAUCGAGUUCCACUCCAUGUGGAGUCAUAGGUGUAUCACUUUUGUUCUCCAACUAAUAAAACAAGACCAAUAAUAAUGUAAUUAGAUAUAUAUAUAUAUAUAUAUAUAUAUAUGCAUACAAAAUAUAACCAAUAAUGUAUUUAUAAAUUAACAAUACUUACAAUUUUUUUCUCGGAUCCUCUAUACCCCGCUCGAGAAGCUCGGUAUGGAUAUAAAGGCUUGGAUGCCCUAUUGCGGUUUUCAUUACUUAAUUUCUGAAAUAAUAAACAACAUUAUUAUCAACAAUCAUAUACUAAAGCAUAUAUACAAAAGUCAAUACAAAGAAUAUGAUUUUACCAAGAAAGAUUUAUGUGCAUAGGGUGACAAAAGUCUUUCAAUCCUCUUCAUCAACGAUAUUUGUAUAUUUAGUUGGUGGUUUUAGGUUGACAUUGCCAUCAGCAUCUCUGAGUAAUUUUCCGGCAUAAAUUUGGAAUUGUCAGAGAGGCUUGCUAGUCGAUUUAAGAAUAUAAUCCUUAUGCUCCUCACCAACAUCAAAAGUUGGCUGAAAUAAAAACAUGUAUACAUUAUAUAUUGCAUGAAAACACAUGCAUAUACGUAUGGUGCAUGAAAACGUAACACAUAUACGUACAUUGCAUGAAAAUGUAACACAUAUACGUACAUUGCAUGAAAACACAGAAACUGAAAAAUAAACCUACUGUUAUUUCAUUCCAAAUACGCUCAUUCACGGUAUUCCUUACAUCACUCCAUUUAUUAAAUGUUAACUUCACAUUCUGUCUAACAACAACACUAAUGUAGCUUACCAAUAUGUUGUCGCCCUUCAAGUUUAAUGGUUGACCUUUAGAGUUUCAUUGAACUUCUAUCUUCACAUCCUUACUUCUUGACCAAAUGACAUUCUUCAUAGAAGUCAUUCCACGUGGAGUUCGUUUUUUAGCAACGAUUUGCUUGUCUUGUAGAGUCGGUGUAGCUUCGUCACCACUGUGAGAACCAUGAUUGCCACUUUGAGAAGCUAUUGAUGAAGUUUUUUGAGGUUUCUGAGAGUAUGAGAGUUUAUGAGAGUAUGAGAGUUUGUUGAGAGUAUGGGGAUUUCUUUUCGAUUAAGUUUGAGAGCAUAGAGGGAACGAUUCAUGUUUUAGAUAUUUAAAUUGCAUUAACAAUUUAACAGCGCAUAUUAACAAUAGUGUUGUUGAAUUGACAUCUUCAACAGCGGCUAUUAAAGAUUGUGUUGUUAUUGUAUUAACAAUCCAACAACGCAUAUUAACAGUAGCGUUGUUGUAUUGACAUCUUCAAUAGUGCAUAUUAAGGAUUGCGUUGUUGUUGUAUAUUCAGUUAUUUACUACUCAUUUUCAUGAACACGUCAAUAGCGCUACCUAGAUGUAACGUUGUUGAAUAAAAUCUAAUUGGCAGCGCAAUCGUUAUAUGCGCUGUUAAACUGAACUCAUUUUCCAAAUUAAUAGCGUAUUCGUAAUUAUCCGAUGUUCAAUUAACAUUUUACAUAACAGGAAAAUAUAUAUACAACAUGAAUUUACGUUAAUUAACAUGAAGUUGUCAGGAAGUAGAUUACUAUAUAAUUGUGUUUAUUAAUACGAAACUGGAAAAAUAUUAAACAUUACGUUUUGUUAAUUUGUUUUUGUAUUUAUUAAGUAUUGUUAAUUUCUUUUAUUGUGUUUAUUAAUAUGGAACAACAAAAGUAUUAAAGAAAAUAAUCAUUCAAAUAAUUAACAAAAAAAAUAUAAAUUAACAUCCAUAAUAAUUAUUUUAUUAUUAAUUCAGAUAGGCAAAAUACAUUAUAAUGAACUAAAUGAUUUGGUACAUGCGAAUAUAAUAAAUUAAAUGAUUUGGUAGAUCAAGAAUACAAUGAAAAAGAAACAAAUCUUCUCCAUAAUUUAUUUUCUCAACUCCUCUACACAAAUUUUAUAUAACAGUUCAUUGAUUUCCUUUUAAAAUCAAGGAUCUUUUGGAAAAUCAAAAGAUUUUAAAGACCUCAUUGACAAGAUUUCAAUGAAGGAAAUAAUUUUUUCCUCGACUCCUCUAUACAAAUAUUCAUCUCACACAAAUCUUGUAUAACAAUCACUUUCCUUCUGAAAUCUAAGCCCUUUUUGAAAAUCAAAAGAUUUCAAUGAGGGAAAUAAAUAAAUUGAAAUAGCUCAAUGAACUAAAUAAUUUACAAAUUAAAUCUUCAUCUAACACAAAUCUUGUAUAACAAUCAUUUUCCUUCUGAAAUAUGGGUCAUUUUGCCAAAUCAAAAAAUGUUAAAGACCUGCUUGACUUGAUUCUGAAACAGAAACACAGUUUUAGAACUUUUAACAUUUUGAACAUACUCCUAUAGAAACACAUACUCUUACUUAUGAAAUAUAACAUGAAGUGAACCACAAUAUUUAUAGAUGAGCAACCAUUAAUAUUUCAACAAACAAAGAGACGCAUAACCACUCAACCAUUAAUAUUUCAACAAACGAAGAGACGCAUAACUACUCAACCAUUAAUUUCUCUGACACUUAAAAUGUCGUAUAAAAUCAACAACGCAUAAUUAAGAAAGUGUUAUUACUAUAUAAUCUUCAAUCGCGCUUUCUUAAUUAUGCGUUGUAAAAUUUAUUAACAUUAACAACGCUUUCUAUCAAAUACGCUAUUAUAAUGUUCAACAGUGAUGUGUCAAGAAUGCGUUGUUGAAGUUACACAAAUUAACAGUACGUGCUUUAGUAUGCAGUGUCAAUGUUCUUCCGCCUCAUUUUCAACAACGUCGUUCAAAAUUGUAUUCCUAUAACAUUCAUACCAUAUGUACCCCCUGUUUUCCUAAGGUGGCUCUGAUACCACACUGGCCGGGAGCCUCCUAUCAUGAUAACACACCUAUAAGGUUCACCAACCGAGACUUCGGUGAGCCAACUGUUGGCUUCUAUUUGUCUCAAGGUUCGACUACUCUUAUAUAACAUGUUACCACAAUAGGUAGGACCGUAUCAUGGAUCUAAAAUCAGAUGUCUUUUCUGAUGCACAAGAUCCUCAUAGAGGCAAGUGCAGAGCAUACUAACAUCUCUGUAGAGGGUUAUGGUAUAAACAUUAUAGCUUUGGCUUUCAGAAAGAUAGAAAGCUUAGAAGGAAGACAUGGAUAUGAAAAACACAAGUUUUAUUUCAUUCUUGUUCUGAGUACAAUGUGGUCUAAGCAUUCCUAUUUAUAGAAGGAAGCAGACAUCUAUCUCUAUCACAAGAAUCGUACAGCUCACCAAACCUUAUCUUACAAUAUCACACCAUACUAUUCCCUAGCUUACAACUCAUCACACCUUAUCUUACAUGAUAAUAUAUCUGACAUUACAUUUUAUUUUAUUUUACAACUCAUCACACUUUGUCCUAUAUGACACCACGUUUUAUGCUUACUUUGGAUGAUUUCGGGAAGAUUCCUUCUUAUCUUGAAUUCUGACUUGGAGAGAGAUUAUAGUAAUGCCAUUCUUUAGAGUUUACACUUCCAUACAUAGUGUACCACCAUGGGGUUCUUGUCUCUUCAUAAGUGACUUUAUAUACCAGCAUUAUAUCCAUUAUCUCAGCAUUUAUGUCUUGGGCAUCUUGGUCCAUGUCUUGGUCCACCGGUUCCAUUAUUGAGUCUGUAUUUGUAGAUUGGUUGAUCCCGAAUUCAUUUUUUCUGGAGGAACUUGCUUCACCCACUCUUUGGUAGAACGAGUUAUUUACUUGUAUUAAUCCUUUGCCCCUCACGAGGUUAGUAAGGUUAUCACAAUGGCUAAUGCAAGUGCUUGUAGAACUAUUUGGCACAUAUUCAUCAAACUUUACUUGACUUAAAUGCUUUUCAAGUUCUUUUCUAUAAUUUUCCACCAACGGGUAUGUGUCAAAGGUAUCCCAGACAUAGGCUUGAUUCCUNNNNNNNNNNNNNNNNNNNNNNNNNNNNNNNNNNNNNNNNNNNNNNNNNNNNNNNNNNNNNNNNNNNNNNNNNNNNNNNNNNNNNNNNNNNNNNNNNNNNUAGAUCCUCUGAAAGGAUAUAUCUACGGUGAGGAUUGAUUGAGAUGGCAUUAUUGAAAGGAACCUCUGGAUGGAAAAUAUUUUCUUGAAAACUAUCCUUGCAACCUCUAAGGGCUUUAUGCAAAAAAUAAUGAAGGCGAUUCUUUGCAUACUCUUUAAGUUUUCCAAGUGAAAAGGACAAAUCUACUUCUGGAGGGAGGUCUUUGGUUGUAGAGGCAUAUUCUGGUAAAGAAUUGACCAUUAGGAUUAGUGGAAAAAUAUUGACAGUGGUCAUGAGGUUGAUGGGUUUGUUUGGUCUACAGAGGAAAUCUGGGACUAAAUUUUGGUUUCCUUUAAUUUGUUUAAUAGUAAAAUCAUAUCUAGAAAACCAACUUUUCAACCUGAGUAUUUGAGGAUCAUGUGGCAUCUUGUUUUUGAAUUCUAGAAUCUUGGGGAAAGAGGAGUUGUCCAUUUGUACUUCAAAUGUAUGGCCUCUAAGAUAAAAAUCAAAUUUCUAGAUCCCGUACUUGACAGUAAGAACCUCUUUAUAGGUAGUUUGAUAAUGUUUUUCUGCAUCCUUGAAUUGGCCACUAGCAUGCCCACAAUAGUAUCUUCUCUCCUUUACUUCUUCAAUCAAGUCUGCCCCCUAGAAAUGAUCACUUGCAUCGGUUUGUAGGAUUCGUUUGUCGGAGGUUGGGAUUUUAAGUGCUGGAGGAUUUUGAGCAAUCUUCUUUAGUUCCUUAACCGCCUCGGUUUGUUGUGAGCUCCACGGAGCAGCAUUCUUCUUUUGCAUCUUGGAGAGUUGGCUUGUCCAUUUUGCCGCAUUGGGGAUAAAAUCCCAAACAUAAUUGAGAAUUCCAAGGAACUGUUGCAUUUGCUUAGUCGAGAGAUUUUCAUCAGGAAAAUUUAGCAGUUCUUGUGCAAUAUGUGGUUGAGGCUGGUAACUUCCAUUGGAAAAAUGCAUUCCCAAGAAGUCAAUUUCAGUUUGUCCCAAUUGAAUCUUCCUUUCGGAUAACAUUAUUCCAUGUUGUUGGGCAAGGCUGAAAAAUUGAUCUAAUAAAUUUUUGUGGAGGACUUGUCCUUCGAGAACAGAAGAACAUCAUCAAUGUAGAUUAAGAUGCUAUCUAGGAUAGGCUCAAAGAUCCUGGUCAUUGCCUUUUGGAAGAGAGAGGGGGCAACCUUUAACCCAAAAGGUAGGACUGUCCAUUGGUAUUGUGUAUUUGGGAUGCAGAAUGUAGUCUUGUGGCGAUCAGCAGGGUCUAAUCCAAGUUGCCAAAACCCAGAUUUAAGAUCAAAUUUUGAGUAUAUCUUGGCGUCCCUAAUCAACACAUGUUGGGAAGAUGCUUUAGGGAUCGGAAAAUUGUCAUCCUUGAGGAAGUGAUUGAACGGCCGAUAGUCAAUUACUAGCCUUUUUUUUCCUCUUAUUUUUUCAGAUCUCUUAUCAACAUAGAAGGCUUGGCAUGCCCACUCAGACUUUGUGGGCUCGAUCAGACCUUGAUUUAUCAGUUGGGCACACUCUUGUUUAGCCUCAAGGAGGUCGGGAGGACUCAUCCAUGGGUGUGUUGCUUUUGUAGGAUUGAUAUCUUCAUUCAGCUUGAACGGAAGCUGCACAAAGAAGUCUGGAUUUUUCGAGAGGGGUUUCGGAUGGUUGAAUUAUUCAUGGUUGUCUGCACAUAAGGAUAUGAGCUUGUCUCUUAUAUCUUUGAAUUCGCCAGGGGCUUCUGAGAGAGUGUAGAGUUUGCUAAUCUCAGAAUAUGGCUUAAAUUCUCUUUUGUAUUUGAUACCCGAAGGAAGGAUUUGGAGUCUUCCUGCCAUAGCAUAUACAUCCAUGCCUAUUAAUAUGUCUUUGUUAGGAAGGUUGCUUCCAAUGACUUUUGUCCAUAUGGUGCAGUCAGGGAAAAACCUAAUCCCUAUGGGAGCUUUUGACACAANNNNNNNNNNNNNNNNNNNNNNNNNNNNNNNNNNNNNNNNNNNNNNNNNNNNNNNNNNNNNNNNNNNNNNNNNNNNNNNNNNNNNNNNNNNNNNNNNNNNUCCGAAGUUAGGCUGGCUUCAGAAGAGGAAUCCUGAAGGGCAAAGAUAGUUUCAUCAUCUGCAGAACUCUGUUCUGAGUAGAGUGAUUCUAUGUCCCCUUCUAGAGGUUCUAAGGAAUUAAUGAGUUUGGCGGCCUUAGCAGUUUUGUUUGGACAAGUUUUUGAAAGAAAAUGCCCUCUCUGUCCACAGAUGAAACACCUCUGACCACUCUUCUUCCCACUAUUCCCUUUCCUCCGAAAGAACUUCAAGGGCUUCUUUCUUCGUCGGGGAAUUCUCUCAAACUUUUGUUUGUGAAACUUCUUCUUUGUGGAGCAAGUGCAACUCUUCUCUUUACAUUGGAUUUCCAAGUAUGGUUUUGUGCAUGCCUUAGUGAAUUUGGACUUUUGUUUCAAUAUGUUAGAGAAGAAUUGGUGUUACUUGCAAAGUUUGUCAAGAGCUUCUAAUGUUAACUGGUGAAUUUGCCCUAGAGUUAGGGCACUGAAGUCUUUCUGUGAAGCGGCAACCAUCCUAUGAAGUUCGGGUUGGAGUUCUUGUGGGAGAGAAGCUACAUAAGUAUUUUUCAAACUGUUGUCAUUUUAGCCAUUUAACAAGUAGAAUCGUUGCGACAUUCUCUGGAAAUGCUUCUCCAGAUUUUUUACCUUUAGUGAGCAACAUUUCAUUUCAAAGAACUCAUGUCUCAUCUUUUUAUCGAAGAUGCUCAUAUCUCCGAUAAACUCUUGGUGGAUCGCCCUUAGAACUUCAGCAGUAUUGUGCAAUCUAUGGAAUUGGUCUUGCCUAACUUGUCCAAGAUUAUGGUACCACUCUUUCAAGGUACCGGUCAUUCUGCAACCAAACUCCUCUAUGACUCUGUAAGAGUCUGCAUCAUCUUUCAUCAUUUUAGUGUCUAGCCAUGCUCCAAAGUCAAGGAGUCUCUUUCUCCAUUUGCUUGGAGGCAAAUCAUCAAAGGUGAAUUAGGGUCCUCCAUUUGAAUUGGAAUUGGUAUUCCUUUUUGGAGACGAAAUCACUUCUUCCUCUGGGGAUUCAUAGAAUGCAUCAGUUUGUACUCUCGAUGUAGAAGUGUUGACCAUGAGCAUAUCUGUGAUAUUGGUCAUCUCCAUUUCAGAAUCAGAACUAGGAAGAAAUUCUGUCUCUAGAUCACUUGACUUCUCAGCUUCUGAACUUUGAGGUGACAACCUUUGUCAUGUCUCCCUUUUCAAAGAUUUUUCCAUGGAGGCCAUCGCCUGGAAAGGUUGUUCUCUUGUAGGAGAAUCUUUAUGAAAAGACUCUCCCUGGGUUGUUCCUCUUUUCUGCGGAGGUUCAGGAUGGGGCAGUGAGUCUGAGGAGGAACUACUGAUCUUGGAUAUUUUUUCUGUACGCACAUGCGUCCUUUGGGACUUUGGUCUAUAGGCAAUUGGGAAAAUUUAUGGUGGAUUAUUGUAUGAGGUUGUUGGAAAGAAAGAUGUAGCCUUAAUGGUGGGAGUGUAGUAUGUUGGGAAAGCAGGAAUGUUGAGAAAUGGAUGAGUUUCAGAUUCUUUGCUCUGAGCUGUCGUGUAGGCAUUGAUAUAAUUGUCCAUAUCUCUUACCUGAGAGCGAAGGUGUCUGAUUUCUCUUUCUUUUAGAUCAAAAUCUUCGCCAAAACAUGUUCUAGCCUCUAACAUCUCUCUCAUCUCACCCUCAAGCUGGGUGAUUUGUGAUUGAAGAGUCUUGUAAUACUUCUGCAUCUUGGAUGACAAGUAUUGGAGCUUUUGGUCAGUUUGUUCAAUGCUAUUAGUUAUUCUGCUCACUCUUGCAUCAAGAUUCUUCAAAAUAGAGUUUUGAGCCUUGGCAUUUUCAGUUUGCCAAUUAAGUACUUCUUCAGCUUGGCUCAGAGGCUUAGGCUUUCCAUCGGCUUGGACUUCAGUUGGUUGAAUAAAAGGUUUUGUAGAGAGUUUCGAGACUGGGUCUGUCCUUCUCUCAAGGGAAGGAAACUCUCUAUCAUAUUGAGGGGAUGAAGAAGAAAACAUCAUGCAUGGAAUGGGUUGAGGAACAGCAGUCAGCGACCGUGGCUUACAUGUCUGAUAUGCAUCCUUUGGGGACCAUGAGAUCAGAGUAGGGUCAUUAGGUGGAUGUGGCACAGGAGCGAACCCUUCUUCCCUGAGUAUCUUAAGCCAUUCCUCGUAUAUAGAAAGGGGCUUUCUAUUCUUGUGGAUUCCCACCCAGGGGCCAUUUUCUGGGUCAGAUCUUCUUCUUGGAGAAAGAGGAGGCUUGUAGCGAGACCUGUUCUUCCUUCUCUUCUCCGUUUCCUCAUCGCUAGUGUCAUCAUAGUGCAUCGAACAUUCACAUCCGGGGUCACACAUAUCUGGAUUAACGUCCCAGAUAAAAUGUCCACCUAUCUUAUCUGUAUAGGUGGGGUCUCAUUUAGAAGUGAAACUAUAGACAGGACACCAAUCUUCUCCACCAGCGGGUGUGAUCAUUAAAGAUUGGAAGACGGAUGGAGUGUUGUUGCUGGGCCUUUCAUCAGGCUUCUUAAAUAUGGUCCUUACAGAUCCGUCGACAUAUCUUCUGAAUGUCGCUUCAAAAGAUUGGACUGGCUUUCUUUCGGAAUGAAGUCUUUCAUAGUUAGUUAUCCAUUCAAAAGGAAUCAACUUGUGCAAUUCUUCACGAGGAAUAUUCCUCGGGACUUGGACAAUUAAUGGGGUUUCUUCAUCACCAUUGGCUACGACAAAUAAAGCAUUUGUCGCACAUGCAGGUAAAGGUAGGUCUAUAGAAUGGUUUUGGAGUCUAUAGAUUAUUUGGUGGUGCAAGGUUGUAGACAAAGCCUCUGGAACUUGAUCUGCUCCUAUGAGUUGGACUUGGACCUUUAGUUUGGUAGACAAAGUGGGGUCUCUCAAACUAACAUUGAAGUUUGGGAAAAUGGUUAACACAACACUCCCAGCAUUUAGAGUCGUGAGAACAGUGUCGAUCACAGCAUUUUCAUAGUGAAUGUAGCUCGAGUCUAACAAGGCAAUCCUUGCUGUGACAGGGAGACCCUUCCUUCCAUGUAAUGAAAUGAUAAGUCUGACAGCUCCAAAGUGAAGGGUAGUAUAUCCUUCCGUUUUCCAGUGAUUUAUAAGGGUGGUAGGAAUUUCCAAGUCUACAUAUUGUUCUCGACUUGUAGCCGCGAGGCUACACUGGUCAAGUCUAGAAGACUGGAUGUAUUCUUUAACAUUUGGCUUGUUUGUGGAGAUUAAGCGAGAUAUAGAUUUCACAAUGGAUCUUUGUCUCCUGAAUAUAUUGUAUGGACUAAGAGGGGGUGGAACAGUUUCUGCUAUCUUUGCAUCAUCCGAGACAUAUGAGUAUUCUAUAAGGUUCUCGAUUUUCGAAGAGAUAGUUUUAGAGCAGAAUUUGGGUAAGGAAAGAGAUGAGCUUAGGAGAAUGGGUUUGUCUUCUUGAUUAGUUGUAUUCAUGAGUGUGUGUCCUUUCCUACUCACCUCUCCUAUAACAUUCAUACCAUAUGUACCCAUGUUUUCCUAAGGUAGCUCUGAUACCACACUGGCCGGGAACCUCCUAUCAUGAUAACACACCUAUAAGGUUCACCAACUGAAACUUAGUUUUAUUACAUAAAAGUCAUAGGGGAGUUAGUUUUAUUACAUGUCAAUAUAUAUCUUCUUUUCUUAUACCCCUAUUUAAGAAUUACUACAAAAUAGUGGAAGACAAUUCAUGCAUGUCAAGGCCUUCGUAUCUUACACCUUGUUCUUGACGUAAAAUGAAUAAACAAACACAUAUUUGGCAAUUUGACAUGAGUAUUAAAAAUACCACCAGUUUCAACUUCGGCAAGUGGGAAAUUAAACUUCUAGGGUCAAGAAUGAUGUAUCUGAACCAUUUUUUUUUUAUAAAUUUUAAAGUUAAAAAUUGAGUUUGUUAAAUAAAAUAGUAAAAUUUGAGUCAAAUAUAGUUCGGUUUGUUAGGUUUAUAAAUUAACUCGAUUAUAUAUAUAUAUAUAUUAGGAUUGUCUAAGUGAGAACAAUUCUCAUAUAGAAAUUGUGAGAACAAUAAGUUAGAGUGAUACAACAAAAAUUAAUGGUUAAAAUUUAAACUUAGUUAAUAGUCAUGGAUCACUUAGACAAGUCAUGUUUCAUGAACAUUUAUCUUUUAAUUUUAACAAUUCAAAUAAGAUUAAUCGUUCUUAUUUAUUAUAUUAACAAUUGUUCUAAUUUAAGUAACUUUCAAUACAUACAUAUACAUGUAGUAAUAUUUAUUAUAUGAAUUUUAAUUAGUAGCUAUAUUUAUUAUUAAAAUUGAUAAACUUUAUCUAGAUGUAAAUGUAUAAUCUACCAAUACUCUAUAGGCAUUUAAAUUUAUGUUGAGAAUUUCUUAUGAUUGGUGAAAUACCAAUCCUAAGAUCUUGAAUCUCAUGAUUCUCACAAUAAUAUAAAACAAAACAAUGGUGUAAUUUCAUACAUGAAUACAUGUUAUCUGAUAUACUCAUUUGAUCUACAUUUCUGAGAGAGUUUGGUAUGAUGGACUUCCUCAACCAAAUCCUUAAUUCCUUUUGGGACCUUCGUUUUCUCUCUGGUGGAGAGAGGUGAAAAUUGUUUUUGAUUUUGGUGUGUUGGGGACUAUAACCAUUCUUUAUGUGUUAACUUAUAGGGUUCUCAUUAUUCACUAUGGGCUAACCUGUUGGGUAUUCACUGAUUAAGUUCAUAUUCGUUAUCAGCUUUUAGAAUUUUAUGAGUUGUCAAUUAUUAGAUCACUUAUAAUGUAACCCUAUAAAUAAAUAACCGAUAUAAUUUGAAUUUCUAACAAUUUAUACUUCAAAGAAGUGCAUAAAUUUGAGCUCGUUAACCCGUUUAAAAGUUCACGAACCAUAAUUGAGUUGAACUUGUAUUGAAACUCAACUCAAGUUAAUCAUUAAAAAGUCGAGCUUAGCUAAAUUCGACUCGACUCAUUUCCACUCUUACGAUCAAUAUCGUUUUCCCUUUUUAAAUGUUCAAAUUACCUAGUGAAAAACAGAAACAAUUAUUAAAUAUGAAUAUAUGUAUAUAUUAUUCAUAUAGAGGAUUGCCUAUAUAUUAAUAAAUGCUAGUUCACUAAUCCCAUCAAACCAAUCCUCCUUUGUUUCUAUUCCAGAGCCCCUUUACUUGAUAAGGUACCACUUUUCUACCUUCCUUGACCUUUUUUCUUUCACUACUUCCGCACAUUGUAGAGCAUAAGUUUAAGGAAAAUUAAAAGAUGUUAAAGACCUCAUUGACAAAAUUUUAGUGAAAGAAAUAAUUUUUUCCUCGACUCCUCUACACAAAUCUUGAUCUCAUGCAAAUCUUGUAUAACAGUCACUUUCCUUAUGAAAUCUGAGCCUUUUUGAAAAUCAAAAGAUUUCAAUGAGGGAAAUAAAUGAACUGAAAAAAUUGAAAGAUAUCAUAAUUAAGAAAGCGUUAUUACUAUGUAAUCUUCAACGACGCUUGCUUAUUUAUGUGGUGUGGAAUUUAUUAACAUUAACAAUGCUUUUUAUCAGAUACGUUGUUAAACAUAACUCAUUCAAGCCAGAGCUAACGUUACUGAUAUUCAACAAUGAUGUGUCAAGAAUGCGCUGUUGAAGUUACACACAUUGACAGUGCAUGCUUUAGUAUGCGCUGUCAAUGUUCUUCCGCCUCGUUUUCGACAGCAUUGUUUAAAAUUACGUUGUUGAAUGACCGCUGUUUAUUACGAUAUCUGGCGUAGUGAUGGUUAACCUGAUUAGCAAAGAAUGACACCUUAUUCAACUCCAACCAGGUUCCCUUCUCAAAAAACGUGGAAACCGCGAAGGUGAAAUCAUAGUUUUGGAUUAGAGGAAUAACUGACAACACAACAAUGUCAUACUCUGAAUGGAAGUGGAACUAUGUGAAUGUUUACUUUCUUACUACUGGUAAGUUCUUAUUGUAUUAUUUAACUCUUGUGUGUAAAUCCUAUACUAUUGGUACUUUUUAUUAACAUAAUUUUAAUGCGGUCUUAUAAAUUUGAGUCUUAGGCAUGCAAUCACUUUAAAUACUCAAUGAAAUUAAAGAACUUUAUCGUUCAUAAUAAUUUAAAUGAUGGAUUAGAAUGGGUUUACCUCCUAUGAAUAAUAUCUGUGGUCUUGAAAUAAAAAUAUUCUCAGCAUAUUUAAAUUGUAAUCAAUUUAGAUACUGUCUGUAACUACUUUUUACACUGUUAGCAAAUCAUUCACUAUUGAUUUAUUAAUUGCUAUUGAUUCUCAAACAAAAAAGUUAAUACAAAUCAAUGAGGAAUGAUGUUCGUGUUCUGACAAUGUAAAAAACUUUACACUGUCAGUAUACAUUUUUAAACUCAUAUAACAAAUUAAUAAUAAAAAGGAUUUAAUUAUAAUACACACUAUGUAUGAUUUUUCAAUCUUGCAUUAUCAAAAAAAUUAAAAAUUUAACUUUUAUAAUAACUAUUUCCUUUUAUGGCGAGACCUUUUUUAAUAAGUAUCUUAAAAGUAAUAUAUUAAGUGAUAUUUGAUUGGAAACCUUCUGGGUAUCAAAAUAAACUUAUAAAAAAGGUUCAAAGCACACGUCUAAUUAUAAAUUAGAAAUUGUGGUUUGGUCAGUAUCAUGCAUUGAGAUAGGGUGCACCUCUUUGUCCUUUUCUUAUGUAGUUAGUCAUCAUGACUAAUUAAAGAUCUUAACACAGGAAGAAACUUGAGGCUGGUGAGAGAAGGAGAGUAAAAUGCGGGUCAAAACAACAAUUUUAACCAUGAACAAAAACGGGAAAAAUGAGAACCUCACAUCAAAAACAGAAACCACAAAAUUAAUUAACAUAACACAUUUCUAUUAUAAAAAGCAAUGCUCUCUUCCUUGCACACAGUAAAUCUUCCUCUGAAUCAAAUCUACAUUAAUAUAUAAAGCAAGCAGGAUUCACACAAUGGCAAAGAGUACUAUAUUUCUUGCCUAUGCCCUUUGUUUCUUAUGCUUCUUUGGUUCUGCUUAUUGCCAAGACCGGUUUUCUGUGGAGGGUUUAGUUUAUUGUGACACAUGCCGCAUUCAAUUCAUUACAAAGUUGACCGAGUUUCUCGAAGGUACAUGCUUCAUUCAUACGCAAUGCACAUAAAUCAACAGCUAUAUACACCACCGUGUAGCUGAUAAAAAUAAAAGAGGGAAAAAAAGAAUGCACUUAAAAGGGAAAAUUUAUGCGAAUAGUGUAUCACACAUUUAGUAUAAAUUUUGAAAUAAUUAUAGAAGUAUAAAUUUUAUAGAACUCGUGGAUGAGGUCUACAAUUUUAGGGAAGUCGUAGACUAGAAAUAUGACAUCUCUGUCAUCUCGUGCCUAAGAGGCACGAAAUUCUUACAUAUUCUCUCUCCUCAACUGAAGUCAUGGAUCAUAUGCACGACUUUCAUAGUCGUGUCCCUAAAACACGAGUUUGGAUGGGACAUGAUGAAUUUAAAAUUUUCCGGAUAGAUGGAUAUUGUAGGGUUAUUUGUUGUUUUAGGGGUUAGUUUUAUCGUAUUAUGAUUUUUUAGAAUAAGUUAAGAUUUAUGAUUUUUAGUUUAUAAAAAGAAUAGGUUUAAAUUAAAAUAAUAAGAUGAAAUUGAAUUUGAUAAUUUUACUAAAGUGUUAGUUUUAGGGAACUUGGUUAAAGUUUUUGGUUUUUUUAAGAAUGGUGAAAAACCUUUCAUGUGAUGUCUAUUAUUUUUAUACACUAAAAAUCAUAAAUCUUAACUUAUUUUAAAAAAUCAUAUUAUACUCAAUAUAACUCACAAAACAAUAAAUAACCCUACAAUAUCCAUCUAUCUGAAAAUUCUAAAUUCACUAUGUCUCAUUCAAACUUGUGUUUUAGGGACACGAUUUUGGAAGUCGUGCAUGUGAUCCACGACUUCAGUUGAGGAGAGAGAAUAUGUAAGAAUUUUGUGCCUCUGAGGCACGAGAUGGCAUGAAUGUCGUAUUCCUGGUCCACAACAUCCCUAAAGUCGUGGACCUCAUCCACGAGUUCCAUAAAAUUUAUAUUACUUCCAUAAUUAUUUUGAAACGUAUACUAAAUAUGUGGUAGUGUAGUUUGACUACACUAUUCACCUAAGUUUUCCUACUUAAAAGUGUAUAAAAUCUAUAUAAUGUCAUUGUAUCAUCUAUCAUUCAUAUUUAAUCAUCACUCAUUUUAAAAGAACAAUAGAUGAUGUAGUAAGUGUAUAAAUUUUUUUACUAUGAGUAUAGAUGUUACUCUCAAAUUUGCAUAUCAGUUUAAUACAACCAUCAUUUCUUCUUUCAUAUAGUGGUAUUUGAUUAUUAUCUUUAAUAUCAUGUAUGGCAUGUCUAUCAGCAUUUUUAAGUAUUAUUUACCUAUUACUUAAAACACUAGUUAAUGUUAUAUUUGGAAGGAGAGAUUUUGCUAAUUAUAAUCUUCACAUAUGAACAUGAUAGGAUCAAAUAAAUAAUAUGUAUUCCUAAACUACAACACCAAUUUAAGUUAUAUACCUCGAAAUAUAAAAGAUUACAUAAUAACUAGGUAAAAUGUGUGAUGAACAUGAAUACUAACCAAUGGUAAGGGAUUUGUCGUUCAUGAUCAUAUUACCCAACUUAAACAAGGUUGUUUAAAUAAAAAUACACGUGGUUCAAACAAAAUUCACUCAAUAUUCUCAAUGUCCAUAAUCUUUUCCUUUUUACAAUUUUCAUUCUAAAGUUCCACAAUAUAAAUAUUAAUAAAGUAAAAACCAUAGAACUGCACACACUUUACGAUUGAUUAAGAACCAUAAUUGAAAAUGUGCAACCAUGCAACGUAGGUGCAACCGUACGUGUGGAAUGCAAAGAAGAAAACAGUGACAAAGUGACAUUCAGCAAAGAGGCAGUGACAGAUUCAUCAGGAUCCUACAAAUUGGAGGUAGAUGGAGACCAUGAAGAAGAAAUCUGUGAGGUUAAGCUUGUAAAGAGUCCAAGACCUGAUUGUGCAGAAAUAGACAAAGAAUUUCAUCUUGAGCAAUCUGCUAAAAUCAGCAUCACAAAGAACAAUGGAAUCGUAUCUGAUAUUCGCAACGCGAACCCUCUUGGUUUCCUUAGGAAGAAGCGUCUUCCAGCUUGUGCUGAAGUUCUUAAGGAUCUUGGAGUUCAUGAUGAUGGCACUCCAAUAUAAAGAAUAUUUGUACAACUCAAUAUGACAACUUUCAUAAUGUUGUCACAUGAGGUUACACAUAUAAACUACCCAUGGAGAAUAGAGAAAUCAUUAUAAGAGAUAUAAGAAGCUUUUUUAACAUUUUUAUUUUAAGAAUAAGGAAGGAGAGCUCAAUAUCUUUUUGUUUUUGUUUUUCCCUUUAAAUAUUAUUAGGAUCAGAAUGUGAGGAUUAAUAUUAAUAUGCUUAUAAACUAUAGGAGUUUUUCUAGAUUUAAGGAUUAGUGUUCCUCUUUCACAUUUUUGUUGGUGGAGUUUGGAUGAAUGAUAUCUCUAGCUGUUUAAUUCAUCCCUCCUGAAUCGUGUAAUCGACUUGAUUAUUUCAGCUACAAAGACAAAAAACAAGACUUAAGGGAUUCUGAUAUUUAUAAUUUAGUAUGAUUAUUACUGAUUGUGGUCUUCAUUGGUGUGGUAAUAUUCACUAAUUUCUGGAUGCCUUAACUUAAUUAUUUUAGUACAAUAUAUUAAAUAUAAUAAUAUAAAAGGUGAUAUUCUUUAACACUUCCUGAGCAAUAGAAUUUUUAUUUUUGUUCUGAACCAUUCAACAUAUACCACAUUAGUUUUUUCGGGUGAUUACUGUCUUUAACUAUAAUUUUAAUAAUAUAUUGAUGUUUUUUCACCUUAAAAUUCUCUGUAUUGUUAUUCUAUUUAGGCUCUAUAUUUUAAUUUGUCUGCUUAACAUUUCUACAAGUGUCCACUUGCAUAACUACAGAUGAGGGAGAAUUGAUUCUGUUUUUCCAAGGCUAUAAUCAUUUUGAAGCUACUUGUGAUGACAAUUAUGGAGCAUAUUUCUGACCCUGGUUUCUUAUACUACUUCUGAAAUCGAAGCUCCAACUGAAGCAAAUACUAAUAAUUAAUGAAAAAGUAUAUAAUAAUAAAAUUUUAACAUAUUAGUUGGAGUUGUCUCGGUAUUUACAGUGCAGCCCUCUCUUAUGUAACGCUUUUCUGCCUAAUAAUACUAAUUUAUUAGAAGAGAAUGAAUAUAAAAAUAUAUUUGGAGGAAGUGGAGUGUCUUAUUUGAUUGUGUUUAUAUAUAUUUUGAUGCUAGGUUAGUUGAUUGUACUUAUUAUUAAUUAAAAACUCCUAAAAUUCCCAACUAAAUUUUAUUAUACCUUCUUCAAGCCAAAAGAAAGCUGACAAAUGGUAGGUUUGAGCAAGGUUGUAACUAAAAAAACUAAGAGAAAAUAUUGACAAUUUAAGAGUGACAGUGUAUAAAACUUAUUUUGAUUACUUUUCUUAAAAAGUCAAUCAUAAUUAACUAUGAAUCACAGAUGAUACAGUGACUAUAUAAAUUCAUAUACUUUUGUUCCAUACAUUUGUUUCUCUUAUAUUACACAUCCACUAACGAAACUAAAACUAGUCCUACUUCAUUUAUCAAAAUUAGCCCUACUCCAAUUUUCAUACAAUUACAUAUUAAUAUUAGCCGAGACAAUAGACCAGCACAGAAAACAAGCAAAAGGAACAGAUGCAGAUUCAGAGUAGCUUGCACAAGGAGCCUUGCACCACAUGUUUUGAUCAUAGCAGAUUGUAUGCUUGUACAGUUGUAUAAGAAGGUUAAUAAGCCUCAUAUGAGUUUAGGGAAUUAGUUACAAAGUUAGUUAACUAUAGUUCCUAACUUAUAUAAAAAGAAACCUCCCAUUCAUUGUAAACUCAACUUCCUAUCCAAUUCAUUCAGAAUCAAUACAAGUUCUUCAUUGCUUAUUGUUGAUCACCUUCACUAGAACCAUUUUUACUAUUAAUUGUAUUGUAAUAUUUAAAAUACUUAGAAAAAAUAAAUGGGGUACACAUUUGCUCUCACACAACUUGUGGGACGGUAGAUAUGUACUCAUAACAAUAAGAAAAGUAAUGUAAAAUUUAUUUUCCAACAUACCAGUAUUGACAAAAAGAUUGGUUCUCAAAUCUAUUUCAAAACUAAUUAACAAUUAAAAAAAUAAUCUUGAAAUAUAUUUAAACCAUAUCCAUUAAAAUGAUAGAGACUAUCUCACACUUACUUUUUAAACAUAAUCUAAUCUAGAGGGAAACAUGAUUGAGUUAACACUGGCACAAAAAUGAUUGAGUUAUGUAGACACUUGUAAGUUUCUAGUCAUCCCAAACAAUUAAAAAUAUACAUAUCAUAUGAUCUAACUGUUAUGUUCUCCAUGUUAAAUUAUAACACUACUCAGUUCUCAUUUCACAGUCUCAUCAUAUAGAGUAAAAACUCAUUCCAUGUAUCAACAGGACCUGGCAAGCACCAAUGAACACAAUCAUUGACCUUCUUAUUUGUUCCAAUCACAGUCCCAUAUCUAUUGGGAUGUCCAUCAGGUCUCAUUGACAUUACUUCACUUAUAUCUAUCAAACCAAACUUUAAACCUUUCUUUCUACCUUCUUUCUCUGCUGCACUAAAUUCCUCAACUUGUAUCUCAUAUAGUUCCCUUAGAAAAUACCCUCUUUCAUAUUCAUGCCUUUCUUCUUUGGUAUAUGGUUUUGUUCUAUUACAAGCCCCUCCAUUAUACCAAUCUCCAUUCUCAAAGUGGUUUGGAGAAUGAGUCACCAAAAAUGUCAUACCCUUAAACCCUUUAAGAUUUAUAAUAGUUCUUAAUGCUGUUCUGAAUGCAAACCUGUAUCCAUAUAAGUUAGGCUCUGUCAUGUUCUCUUGACAUCUUUGGCACCCAACAAGUUGGCCGUUUUCGUAGAAUGUCAAUGGUCGAAAAAACCAUUGUCCGGUUGAGAUAAUCACAUAGUCAGAAUUUUCAAUUUGGCUAACCCAAGCUUUAUCUGCUUCAUCUAGAUAAAGGUUCUGAGCCUUGUAGAAUGCAGUAUCAUUGAGAUAAUUAUAAUCUGAUUUGACUAGAAAAGGGGACCACAAGAUUGCAAGAGUGAAGUUGUAAUCAGCAUAGAACCACCAUUUGAAAUAAUUUUCAUCCUUCAAUGCAUAUUUUGUUGUAACAUCUUCAGGAUGAGCAACCUGAUAGAGUAAUAAGGAAAAUAAUUUAGUUUCUAGACACUAGAAAGGAUCAUCAUAGGUCCCAAAAUAUUUAGAUGUAGUACUAUUACAUCAUUCGAUCCAUAUAGUCGACCUCACCUAGUAGGAUAAAGGUUUGAUUGUUGUUGUAACAAAAGUUGUAUUGUUGUAUAAUAACAUGUUCAUGAAUGCAACAUCUUAUAAGCCUUAAAUAUUUAGAUGUGUGCUUUUAGUGAAGUAAAGUAGAAUUUCACCCCACGAGGUUAAAAAAGUGAGGUAUAAAGUGGAAGAAAGUGCAUGCCAUUGAUAUGAUGUGUCUAAAGAGUAUAUAGUCUUUCAUCUAAAGGUUUGAUAUAGAGAUUGCUAAAUUGGAGGGAUUAGAGCAAUCUGAAGAAAUAAUCAAGUAGUGUUUCACAGGCAGAGACUUUUUAUACUGGAAAUAUAGUUAGGACUAUUCAACUAUUGUUAAGAGAUUUCAUUAAAUUGCAGAGAGAAGUGGUUGGAAAGCUAAACAUUUACUAUCAUUUUAUGAAGUUUGAUGUGAGAGUAGUGUAAAAUGAAAACAGUCUUAUCUCAACUAACAAAUUGAGACUUGUGUCAAACCUAUAUCAAGUUUUGAUGUGAAAGUGCAAAUUUAUGAAUUGCUAUUAGCAAUCUGAAAUUUUUUAAACAUCAAAUCUUAAUAAAUUAAAAGUCAAAUGUUCAAUUCUUGAGAGUAACGGUUGUUGACAGGAUAAUUACUAUAAUUUUCCCCCAAAAUACCUCCAAUUGUCCACAUAAUAUUCUCCUUCUUUGAAAAUUUUGCAGAGAACAGUCUCCCAUGCAAAGCCCUCAUACCUCAAUUCACCCACUUAACCAAACCUUAGAUCUAUCAUCACCAUUUCAAGCUUAUCCAAACGCACUAAACCAUAAAAAUUGAGCACUCACACAAAUCAAAGACACUACCCCUAUUCCAUCAUCAAUACCCCAUAACAGAGAUCUAUAAGUUUCCGUCUUCAUGAAUUCAAACCCAAAAAAUAGAACAACCCCAAACUCACCCAACUUCUUCAUACAGCCCAUCUUUAUUCCUUAUUAAUCAAGUCAAUAAUAAUUAAACUAUGAUACAGUGUAUAAAACUCAUGCACAUAUAAUAAUUCAGUACUUUUGAACUAAAAAAAAUAAGCAUUGGUGUAAGUGGUUUAGACUUACUAUGCAUAAAAACCGGAAGAGAUCGCGUAUUAAGUUUAACCGGUUUAAACAACUAAAUCGUUAAUGAAUGAUUUCAUACAUAAUUAAUAUUAUUAAUAUUUUUAUCUAUAUAUAUUUAUAUAAAUGUAGUAAAAUUAUAUAAUUAAUAAUAAUGUAUAACUACAUUGAAGUAAUAUUUCUUCAUAUUUUUUACAUCAGAGUAAAACAAAAUGUGAGUAGUGUUCCAUUUUUUUUUAUUUUUAAGUGAACCUUUUGAUUUACUUUUCGGGUUAAUCCGGUUUAACAUAGUCGGACCGGAAUUUCUCCGGUUCAAAGCGGUUCAACUCUCGUUCAGUUAAAACUAUAAAUCGGAGUCGUUUUUAAGUAUGGUCAACAGUUAGACCGGUCGGACCUUCCAGUAUGUCUGGUUCUCCAAAUAUUCAAUUUUAUACUUUUUUUUAAUGCAAAAUUGUUACACUCUUUUUUUGGAUUUUAAAAUCUUUCCCGCUAGAGAUUUUGAAACUGGACAAUUUAAGUCCAUAGAUGCAAUGACACGUUGACAACUAUGUGCCUUAGCUGUAGGCAAUAGCAUAUAGUAAGUGAAAUGAGGCAAAUUAAUUUCUCUUCGCAGACCAAGUGUCCCUUACCCAUACUUUCGCAGACUGAGAAAGUGUGAGACACCAAAUUUUUUGUCUGGUGUGGUGAUUGAUCAAUAACAUAAUGUUUUAUAUUGAUUAUGAUUUAUUUUCUUUUAGACAAUAACCACUUAUUAGCGUAUGGAGUGAAAUAAAUAAAUUGUGUAACAAUAGAUCUCUUUAUGUUACAUAGGGAGCAAAUUUAUUUUCUCAUUAUGACAUUCCAUGUUCCAAAAUGUGAUGGUUAUAAUCUUUCUAUUCUUCUUUUUUUCCAAAACUAAAACAUUUGUUUUGUAAGUUAUUUUUUAAGGUAGGUCCUAUAUUUUUUCCAAUAUGGUGUCAAUUAUGUGGCUAUAUAUUACCACCAAAGGCAAAAGGAUAAAUUGAUUGGAAAUAGUUUUAUUCUAAUUUUCAGAUGUUUCACAUUUGUACUAUCAAAAAUAUUUCUUACCUAUAGAAUAAGAAAUUAAUUCAUUUUAGGAUAUGUAAUUAUCAUUUCCUCUCAAUAAGUAUUGUUUCUAGGAAUAGAAACCUUAAAUUUUUUAUUCUUCUAAAAAUCUAAUAGAGUUUUACAUAAUUAGUCUAAUACCUUAUUACUACUAUUUCAAACAUCAAAAUGGAGGUUUAUUAUAUGUAUUAUCAUACGUGAAUUCAGCAGAAUUAUCCGCCCAGAUUUAUACCAAAAAUGUGUGGCCAUUAGCAUUUGGUAACAAGGUCACUGUUUUUUGUUACUGUAGCCGACCGAAACUGUUGAAAUAAUGAAAUCACGUGCAUGUAUCACGAAUUAAAUUCUUCUCCUUUUUGAUAAUUUCCUAAUUUCUUAAUCAUUCCAAUAAAAAGAUGUUAUCACUAAUCAGGGAAAAUCCAAUUGAAUUGGGGUGAAACGAAAGGUAAAAGGUUCCUCUAAAACAAGCUCAGCUAUAAAAUAAUAAUAAUAAGAACAAGAAGAAGAAUAGCAGUAUAUCAAUCUUUCCAUAUUAUUUAAUAGAAUGAGAUAUUAAUUUAUUUAAAAUAGUUAACAGUAAAUACACUCUUAUAUUAUUUAUUUAUUUUACUUUUACAUUCAAACCCAAAUAUAUUUUUGGACUAGGUGCAUAGAAUUAAAGAUGUUGAAUCCUAUUAAACUUUAAGCAAAAAAUGAAAUUUGGUUCUCAACUUCUACUCUACAUUUUUCCAAGUUAUUUUUGUCUAUAAAUUUUUCUUAAUUACACAACUUUAGUUCAUUCAUCAAGUUUUGACCAAAAAUGCUUAAAAAAUAGUCUGUGAUAAACAAUUAUCAUAGCCACAUCAUAACCUUUUUCUAAUCUUUGGAAAAAAACUUGAUGGAUUAAGUAAAUUUGCAUAAUUAAAAAAGUUUCAAGAUUAAACCAUAAAAAUAAAUAAGUAAUGGGACAAAUUUCAAACAUUAUUAACAAAAGUUAAUCAAUGAAAAACUAAGCCAAACCAAAAAGUGCAAACUUCAAAGUAACGAAGAAUAACUUACUGUGUUUAAGAGGCACAACAAAGAGUCCAUUUGAUUUCUCCCAAUUGAGUCCCCAACAAAGACCAUAGAUUUUCCCCUCACAAGCUUCAAGAAUAGAGUUGCAUCAAAUAAUGGAAGCUCACACUCAUCAGGUUUCCAUCUAAAUUUGAUGAAGUCACUGUCAGGUCUUCCUUGCUUCAAACAAUUUUGCCUAUCAUUCAUGAAAUGACAAGUUUCAUUAUUGUAGUAAGGACCUCCUAGAUAAGGUUUCCAAUUUCCUAUAGUUAUGUUGCAUCUUGUUGUUGUAGUUGUUGUUGGGGUGGUUUCUGAUCUGUUACUAUAUAUCUUAUAAGAUGAUAGGUUUAAGUUUCUGAUGAGCGGAAAAAGGACCACUAUGAUGAGCAAAGUUAAUGGUAAUAGGAACACACCUUUGGGGAUGUUUCUUGUUGUGUAAUUGCAUUUCAAAAUCUCAGGAACUUCAAACUUCAUGGUUUUGAUAAGGCUUGGAAUGAUUUUAAAAAGAAAAAAUCACUGUGUGGAAGGUUUGAUAUGUAUAUUUUUAUAUGGACAGUGCUGGUUUUCUUGAAACUGAGUAUAGUGACAACUGUAGAGCAGAUCUCUGACCCUGGUUUCUUAACAGGAAAAUGAUAUGUAUUGGUAAGCUCCAACUGACAUAAAUAGUAAUUAAUGAAAAAAUAAUAGUUUUAAGAAGAUUUUUGUGGUGUUAGUUGGAUUUGCCUUGGUAAUUACAGUGCAGCCCACUGUCAGCAACUUCUGCCAAGUUAUAAUAAUUUAUUAGAAAAGAAAUAAUAUAAUACUUAAUACAGGUGGACCAUCAUAUUUAAGGGAGGGGUAAAUUAAAAAAAUAUACCUCACAUCUUAGUCAUUAUUCUAAAAAGUUUGAAUUAGUGAAUAAAUAUGAAUUAUUAGAUUUUUCUAGAAUGAGUAACUAAGAUAUAGAGUUGUGUAUCCUCUCCCCAUAUUUAAUUAUAUUACAAAUAAAUAUAUCAUGCUAAAAAUUAACUUAUACCAUAUAAAAGAAAAGUAAUUAUUCUUCUAUAUUGAAAUAAUGUUAUCGAAAUUUAAGUUUUCUUUCUGAAUUCGAGUAACACCAGCCUCGAGGCUUCUUGGGGUUUGUCUUGUCUGGUUGAAUUUGGGCAAUUAUUAAUCUUGUACUAUCUUAAGUGGAGAAUUUAUUUUGUUAGUGUAGUUUGAUCAAAGAAUUAUCAGAAUAGUGUAACUUUUUGCUAAUUACCGAAGUAGUAUAUUUUUAUGGAAAUCGGCUACCACAUAGUUAUUUUGCUUUUUCUUUAUCUCUUGGUUCCACCAAAAUCGGCAACACUGGUGAAGGUUUUGUUUUUUAUUUUUUUAUUCCUAGGAGAAUCAGCAAUAGAGUAUGAGUUUAAUUUUGUUUUUUUGUGCCCUAGCAGAAUCGGCAAUGUAGAAGGAGUAUAUCAUUUUUUUUAAUAUAUAUGCCUUAAUCGGCAAUGUAUGUGGAGUUUAAAAAAAAUUAUUCCUUAGAAAAUCGUUUAUAGGAAAUGAUUUUUAUUUUUAUUUUAUUUUAUUUUAUUUUUGUACCGAAUCGGCUAUCAUAAUGGGUUUUAUAUUUAAAUUUUUAGUAUAAUAGGUUAGUAAUAAACAAAAAAUAUACUAAAACUUUAAAUAUAAAAUUGAAUCAUGAUAGCCGAUUCUUGUUAGGUACAAGAAUAAAGUAAAAUAAAAUAAAAAGUAAAACUCAUUUCCUAUAAACAACUCUCUAAGGAAUAAAAAAAAACUAAAACUCCACAUACAUUGUUGAUUAAGGCAUAUAUAUUAAAAAAGGAGAUAUUCCUUCUACAUUGCCGAUUCUGCUAGGACAUACGAAAAAAACAAAUAAAAAUAAAACUUCUACUCUAUUGUCGAUUCUCCUAGGAAGAAAAAAAAUAAAAAACAAAACCUCCACCAGCAAUGCCAAUUUAGGCAUAUAUAUUAAAAAAAGAAGGACAAACUCCUUCUCCAUUGACGAGUUUGCAGGAAAAAGUUAAAAAAUAAACUCCACCAGGGUUGCUGAUUUUGAUGGGACCAAGAGAAAAAGAAAAUGCAAAACGGCUAUGUGAUAGCCGAUUUCCAUAAAAAUACACUAUUUUAGUAAUUAGCAAAAAAGUUACACUACUCUGGUAAUUCUUUGGUCAAACUACACUAACAGAUUAAAUUCUCCCACCUUAAGCCUUUUGUUUGGUAUGAGAGAAUUAGAAUGGAGAGAAAUGAGUGAGAGGAAGAUUGAAGAGAAAGUGAAGAUUUCUCCUCUUUGGUUGUGAAGGGAGAAAGAGAGGAGAGAGUAAAAAAGGUGUGAGACCCACCAUAAUUUCUUUCUCCCCUAGCUUUGUGAGAAAGUGAAGAGAGAUGGUGAUUUUAUUUGAAAUGUCAAAUAUACCAUCAAUUUUUAUCUAUUUGUUUUAAAAGUGUAAUAUCUAUAAUUUUAUUUGAUAAUAAAUAAUGAUUGAAAAUGAAUGAUGAAUAAUACAGUGACAGUAUAGAAGACUCUUACACUAGCAAUACAUACAUUAUUUCUCUUGCUUUAAAUAUUAGUAAUAUAUAGAGAUGGCAAAACGUGUCGCCUGACCCGUUUAGCCCACGCCUGCAAAUGCCCACAAAAAUUUAAGUGUACGCGAGCAUGCCCACAUUUGCUUAAUGGACAAAAUUCAAUGCCCUGCUCGUUCUAAAAUGGGUUUGGGGCGACCUGCAAGCAUUGUUGAAUAAUUAAAAAAUAUAAAAAAUUGAUAUAAUAAAAUUAAAUAAAGUAGUUGAACAUAAAAAAUUAACAAUUUUUUUUGACAUUUUAUAUGAAGUUUAACAAAUUACAUUAGAUUACAAUUUUUUAGGGAAUAAAAUUCACAUUACAUCAUAACUUAUUUAAAAUUUUCUUAUUUUUUUCUUAAAUUAUAUUUAUGGGCCGCCCGCAUGCUCAACGGAAAUACCCACAAACUUAGCGGACAAAAUGGGUCGAGCAAAAUUGGCAAAUGAACAAAAAAUGUAUAUCAUGCCCGCAAAGAAAUGUGGGCUAUGCGAACGCGCCCGCAGGCAAUACCUGUUUUGCCAUGUUUAGUAAUAUACGUAAAUAUUUUUUAAAUAUAAAAAUAUUAAUUAAAAACAAUUGAAAUUAUAAUAAAAUAUAUAAUAUAAAAUUAUAACAUUUAUUUUCAAUUAAUAAUAAAAGAACUUAUUUAUUUAUAUUUUUUAGGGACAUUUUUAUCAUUUGAACCAUAACAUCAUUUCUCUAUUCUAAUCUUCUAUCCAACCAAACAAAAAAGUAAAAGAAGAAAAUAUAUAUUUCUAUUCAUUUUCUCUUCUUAUUCUCUUAUAUCAAAUAUCACAAAAAUCUACUUUAAUUCUUCUCUUUCUCACCUAUUUUUUUCUUACCUUUUUCUCUCUUCUUAUUUUCUCUUGUCAACCAAAUAAAGCAUAAGUGGAUACUUGAAAAUGAACUCUAAUAUUUAGAGGACUAUGCUUAGAAAGAGAAUGAUUUCAUCUAUUCAUCAUGUGAGAUUGAGUGGAUUGCACUCCAAAGAGGAAGUGUGUCAUUAAUAUCAAUGGUAUGGCCUUGUUCUUUCAGCCUACCAGACCUAUAAUGCUGAAGGUUUGGACUACCUCUGUCAUGUAGGCAAUGUGAGCAUGUCCACUACUCAGGUGGCGCAACCUUGCCGUUGGUAGGAAUGAAGUUUUAUGGCAUAGUAGGUGUUGGCUUGGCCAUGUCGAUGUUAUCAUUUCCCUUUGUUAGGUUGGCCUUCCAAGCCUAAUCAUCAAUCAUGUAAACUAGAUUUUGCCUACCUAAUAAUUGACUUCAUUCAUAGUGAUCGAAUAGUGUUGACCAAUCCUAAUAUUGUGAUGGACAUUAAUAUUUAGUUUUUAAGAGACAUAUAUCACUUUCUUGUGAUAUAAAAAAAAUUGUAAACUAAUUUUAUAGGAUAAUAUAUAUUUUUCUUAAAUUAAUUAUACUUUUUUAAUGCUAAACUCAAAGACAUUAUAUUAAUAACUUGUAAAAAAGGAUUAAUAUACUACUUAUAUUUUUAGAUGCUUGAUAUUAGAAAAUGAUAAUUAAUUGAAUUCGUUGUUUUUAGAAAAAUUAAAAUCAAUACUCUAAUAAUCUAAAGUAGUAGUUCUGUUAUGCAAUGACUCAUAUCUUUAGAUAACAGUAAUACAAGUUAUGAGUUUGAGCUGAUGAAUCGGCAAUGUAGAAGGAGUAUAUCAUUUUUUUUAAUAUAUAUGCCUUAAUCGGCAAUGUAUGUGGAGUUUAAAAAAAAUUAUUCCUUAGAAAAUCGUUUAUAGGAAAUGAUUUUUAUUUUUAUUUUAUUUUAUUUUAUUUUUGUACCGAAUCGGCUAUCAUAAUGGGUUUUAUAUUUAAAUUUUUAGUAUAAUAGGUUAGUAAUAAACAAAAAAUAUACUAAAACUUUAAAUAUAAAAUUGAAUCAUGAUAGCCGAUUCUUGUUAGGUACAAGAAUAAAGUAAAAUAAAAUAAAAAGUAAAACUCAUUUCCUAUAAACAACUCUCUAAGGAAUAAAAAAAAACUAAAACUCCACAUACAUUGUUGAUUAAGGCAUAUAUAUUAAAAAAGGAGAUAUUCCUUCUACAUUGCCGAUUCUGCUAGGACAUACGAAAAAAACAAAUAAAAAUAAAACUUCUACUCUAUUGUCGAUUCUCCUAGGAAGAAAAAAAAUAAAAAACAAAACCUCCACCAGCAAUGCCAAUUUAGGCAUAUAUAUUAAAAAAAGAAGGACAAACUCCUUCUCCAUUGACGAGUUUGCAGGAAAAAGUUAAAAAAUAAACUCCACCAGGGUUGCUGAUUUUGAUGGGACCAAGAGAAAAAGAAAAUGCAAAACGGCUAUGUGAUAGCCGAUUUCCAUAAAAAUACACUAUUUUAGUAAUUAGCAAAAAAGUUACACUACUCUGGUAAUUCUUUGGUCAAACUACACUAACAGAUUAAAUUCUCCCACCUUAAGCCUUUUGUUUGGUAUGAGAGAAUUAGAAUGGAGAGAAAUGAGUGAGAGGAAGAUUGAAGAGAAAGUGAAGAUUUCUCCUCUUUGGUUGUGAAGGGAGAAAGAGAGGAGAGAGUAAAAAAGGUGUGAGACCCACCAUAAUUUCUUUCUCCCCUAGCUUUGUGAGAAAGUGAAGAGAGAUGGUGAUUUUAUUUGAAAUGUCAAAUAUACCAUCAAUUUUUAUCUAUUUGUUUUAAAAGUGUAAUAUCUAUAAUUUUAUUUGAUAAUAAAUAAUGAUUGAAAAUGAAUGAUGAAUAAUACAGUGACAGUAUAGAAGACUCUUACACUAGCAAUACAUACAUUAUUUCUCUUGCUUUAAAUAUUAGUAAUAUAUAGAGAUGGCAAAACGUGUCGCCUGACCCGUUUAGCCCACGCCUGCAAAUGCCCACAAAAAUUUAAGUGUACGCGAGCAUGCCCACAUUUGCUUAAUGGACAAAAUUCAAUGCCCUGCUCGUUCUAAAAUGGGUUUGGGGCGACCUGCAAGCAUUGUUGAAUAAUUAAAAAAUAUAAAAAAUUGAUAUAAUAAAAUUAAAUAAAGUAGUUGAACAUAAAAAAUUAACAAUUUUUUUUGACAUUUUAUAUGAAGUUUAACAAAUUACAUUAGAUUACAAUUUUUUAGGGAAUAAAAUUCACAUUACAUCAUAACUUAUUUAAAAUUUUCUUAUUUUUUUCUUAAAUUAUAUUUAUGGGCCGCCCGCAUGCUCAACGGAAAUACCCACAAACUUAGCGGACAAAAUGGGUCGAGCAAAAUUGGCAAAUGAACAAAAAAUGUAUAUCAUGCCCGCAAAGAAAUGUGGGCUAUGCGAACGCGCCCGCAGGCAAUACCUGUUUUGCCAUGUUUAGUAAUAUACGUAAAUAUUUUUUAAAUAUAAAAAUAUUAAUUAAAAACAAUUGAAAUUAUAAUAAAAUAUAUAAUAUAAAAUUAUAACAUUUAUUUUCAAUUAAUAAUAAAAGAACUUAUUUAUUUAUAUUUUUUAGGGACAUUUUUAUCAUUUGAACCAUAACAUCAUUUCUCUAUUCUAAUCUUCUAUCCAACCAAACAAAAAAGUAAAAGAAGAAAAUAUAUAUUUCUAUUCAUUUUCUCUUCUUAUUCUCUUAUAUCAAAUAUCACAAAAAUCUACUUUAAUUCUUCUCUUUCUCACCUAUUUUUUUCUUACCUUUUUCUCUCUUCUUAUUUUCUCUUGUCAACCAAAUAAAGCAUAAGUGGAUACUUGAAAAUGAACUCUAAUAUUUAGAGGACUAUGCUUAGAAAGAGAAUGAUUUCAUCUAUUCAUCAUGUGAGAUUGAGUGGAUUGCACUCCAAAGAGGAAGUGUGUCAUUAAUAUCAAUGGUAUGGCCUUGUUCUUUCAGCCUACCAGACCUAUAAUGCUGAAGGUUUGGACUACCUCUGUCAUGUAGGCAAUGUGAGCAUGUCCACUACUCAGGUGGCGCAACCUUGCCGUUGGUAGGAAUGAAGUUUUAUGGCAUAGUAGGUGUUGGCUUGGCCAUGUCGAUGUUAUCAUUUCCCUUUGUUAGGUUGGCCUUCCAAGCCUAAUCAUCAAUCAUGUAAACUAGAUUUUGCCUACCUAAUAAUUGACUUCAUUCAUAGUGAUCGAAUAGUGUUGACCAAUCCUAAUAUUGUGAUGGACAUUAAUAUUUAGUUUUUAAGAGACAUAUAUCACUUUCUUGUGAUAUAAAAAAAAUUGUAAACUAAUUUUAUAGGAUAAUAUAUAUUUUUCUUAAAUUAAUUAUACUUUUUUAAUGCUAAACUCAAAGACAUUAUAUUAAUAACUUGUAAAAAAGGAUUAAUAUACUACUUAUAUUUUUAGAUGCUUGAUAUUAGAAAAUGAUAAUUAAUUGAAUUCGUUGUUUUUAGAAAAAUUAAAAUCAAUACUCUAAUAAUCUAAAGUAGUAGUUCUGUUAUGCAAUGACUCAUAUCUUUAGAUAACAGUAAUACAAGUUAUGAGUUUGAGCUGAUGUAAAUGGGUUGGGGUAGAUGGCUAUAUAUAUUGAUGUUAUGUAAACCUAAUGUAACAAGGAGAAGAAUAGUAAAAUACUAAUUUUUAUUCUCUAAUAAUAUAUAGUGGUAGCCGCUCAACGCUCCCGGGGACGUAAGCACAAUUGGCCGAACCUCGUUACCAAAUCUCUUGU
rnacentral:lncRNA from 1 species